GAAGAUUCCGAGGUUGCCCCCGCUGCCGCCGUUGGGGAUGGUGGAGCCGACGGGGGCCAUGAAGAAGGUGAUGCCGUCAGCGGUGAGGUUGGUGGGGCUGGGUGUGAUUAUGAAGUUUACGGUGGUUUCAAAGUCGACUUGGCCGCCGGCUUGGGAGAACUGGACCGGGUUCGAGUGCAAGACCCGGCCGACACUGCCUAUCGUCGGGAAGGUGAGGCGGAGGAAGGGGGAGUUCCAUACGAAAUGGGCGUGGCCUUGGUAGGUGAGAUCGGUCGGCAAGUCACUCCAGAAGUCGUAGGUGAAGGACGUCGAUUGGGACUGCGCAGUGUUGGCGGCAGCGGCGAGGAGGAGGAUGAUGGAGGAGAGGAGAGGAAUUAGGGUUUGGAGGAGCUUAGCCAUGGCUUAAUUGAGUAUAUUUAGAUGUGGUGGAUGAUGGUGGUAUCUCUUGCUCCUAUUUAUAGUGAAUAGUGUAUAGUGUAUAGAGUAUAGUGUAUAUAUGCAUGAUAUUAUGAUUUAAUUGCCUAUGAAUUAUUAAACUUUCAUCAAAUUCUUAUUUUAUAUAUAAACUUCAAAUUAAAUGUAGCGUGAUAAUCACUAAAUUUAUUUAAUCUUAUAUUUGCUACCAAUCAGGAUUCUAGCCAAAUUUACUAUUGACAUUACAAAGUCGAGGAUAUCCUAAGAUGGAUUGAAACAUUAAGAUAUUCCAAGGAUCUUAAUAAUUUCUAUCAUUUGGCAUAAUUUUAUUUGAUUCAUAUCUCAUUGAAAGAAUAUGAUUUUUAUCCCCUCCGUUCACAAAGAUUGUAUGGUGAACUCAGGACAUGAGUUUUAAUAAAUACUUCUUCCGUCCCCAAAAUAACUUUCUAUGAGAGAGGGGCACGAGUUUUAAGAUAAAAUUGUUGAGUGUAUUCGAAGUGGUUAAAAAGUGUUAGUAUUGAAAGUGAUGAAAAUGUGUUAUAAUUAGUAUUUGAAGUGGUGAAAAGGUAAAAAAAUAGAGUAAAUAUAUGGAGUAUAUAUUAGUAGAAAGUGUAGAAAGAUCCACCAAAAUUGAGUGGAGAAAAAGAUCCACUAAAAUUGAUGUGUUAAAUGGUUGAAUAUUUUGUAAAUAUUGAAUGUGAAUGAUGUUUAAAAUGUAAGGGGCGUAGUUUCUAAAUAAAGAAAGCAUACAAUCUUUAUGGACAGACGAAAAUAAUAAUAAACAUACAAUCUUUGUGGAUUGAGGGAGUGAUAAACAUUUCAUUCAUUUAUUGUGGUUUGGAAUCGAUCUUUAUCAACAUUACAUGCAUUCACAAAUAUGAAGAAGGAUUUAAAACGUGUGACACCUUAUUUUAUAUUUAAAAUCGCAAUCACGAAGAGGACCACACUUAUCCUCUAAUCAAUGCUCUCCAUUAUUUUAUAGGAAAGGAUAAACAUGAUUCUUGGUUUAUUUAUGCUUUUAAUAUAUACAAUUAGAUGAUUUUUGGGGCAAAAAGUGAAGAUUUUGAUGUCCGACGGAGUCAAGUAAAGAAGUUGAAAAAAUCGAUUUUUGAUGCAAUUUUAGAAGAUCCAAAGAUGAUAAGAUCUGUGCUUGAGGGAACUUAUUUUGCAUAAGAAAGACUUUCAUUAAUUUCUUAAUUCGAGUAUAAAAUUAGAGGAUUAAAACCACAACUAAUGUUCCUUUGGCUUUUCCUUGAACAAUGUUGGGUAGCUAGUGAAUUUUCUUUGGUAAGUUCGUCCUUUUCUUUGACAAUGAGAAUUGACGUAAAUUGGAUUGUAUUGAAGAUUCUAGUAACAUUAUUCUAGUUUAUAUUUCAUGAUUUAAGGGCUGAAAAUAUGUAAGUAUGUUAAAGGCUAAAUUUUAGGUAAAUAAGUGCUCCAUACUUUGUUAAUAUGCCACUUUACAAAUAAUGUAUGUGUGAACUUGAAUUUGUUUUUUCAUUUAAAGAGAACUAAUAAUGAUAUCCAUUUCCCCCGUGAUGAUUCGAACCCCCAACUUAACAAUUACUGGUGAAACGUUUUAUCCAUGUGAUGACUCUAACCCCCCAAUUUAUAAUUAAUGAUUGGAUGGGAAGCGUAUUGAGGUUGUUAGUGAUUCUUCCAAGGUUAUUUUGUAACUAUGAACUAUCGAUUUUGUAUCAAUUGUACCCUGCAUUUGUUUUUUAGCUAGAGAAAAUAUGAGAAAAGAAAUGAGACAUUUAAAGGCAUAAAUUUUUGUUAUCCCUCAUUUUCUCAUCCAUCAAAGUGAACGCACCCUUAAAUGAUGAUUUGAAAAAAUAAAGUGAUUGUUUCUACGCUAAACCUAAUUGCGUUCGGCCUUUUUCGUUAUUUUAGUAUUUUCCUCAUUUAUUUUCAAUUCUGUUUCCUAUAUAUGGAUAUUUGAUGUAUGAGAAGAUGCUUUCAUAUGAUCCAUUUCAGAAAUAAAAUUAUUUAUUUUCUUUCUCACGAAGAGCGCUCACUUUGACAUCAGUAUCGCAUGAGCUGCACAUAAUUAAUGAAAGAAAAUAAGCAUACACUUGCAUUAUAUAAGAAGAGCAUAUAUACUCGCAGCCGUUUCUCAUAAAUUUCACGCAGUUUUUCGAUCUUUAGAGCCGCCGGCAUGCUCGGCCGAUCUGAAGCUCCAGUAGUCGAUAUCGUGAAGGGCGACGAGGUCGCCGGUGGAGGAGGCGAUUCCGACCUGAACCUGCGACGGAAGAAUUUCCCCCAAAUCAUACUCGUAUUCGAGAAGGCGAGUUUCUUUGUCGCAUUUGAGCGUAACGUCGAUGAAAUUGAUGCCGUCGUAUUGUAUGUGCAGCUGCGCCUCUUUCCCGAUGCACGAAUCGCCAAAUUUCACGAAGUUGCUCGACUUUAUCGAGCUGAUGUCGAUGCCGAUGUGCGGGAGAUCGUGGCUCGGAUCCCAACCGUUGGAGUAGAGGUCGAAUUCCACGGCAAAGAAGGCGGAGGCGGCCGGGCUAUCCCCCGAGGGGUUGAAUAGGCCUAGAUUGCCUCCGUAGGAACCCGGGGGGAUGGUGGUCCCCACGGGCGCCAUGAAGAAGGCGAUGCCGUCCGCGGCCGGGCCUUUUGUGGGGGUGAUGGUGAAUUUUAUGGUGGUAUUGAAAGAUACUACAAUUGAAUUUUCCCACAAUUUGAAGGGUUUGGAGUACAAUACGCGGCCGAUGCUCGACGGCCGUGGAAGGCCGUUGGCGUCGGUCUUGGUUAGCCGGAGGGAACGGGCGCCGUCGGGGACGUGGGCGUCGCCCUGGUAGGUUAGGUCGGUGGAGUUGGCGACGAAGGAGGUGAAGGUGAAGGAGGUCUUUUGUGAGGUCGCCUUGUUUGCUAGCAUUAGGAAAAAUGCUAUGCAAAAGAGGAGAAGAAUUAGGGUUUGUAGAAGCUUGGCCAUGGCUUGAUUUGAUGGGUGGAGUAUUAUUUGGAUGUAGUGAAUAGUGGUUGGCUCUCUAGCCCUAUUUAUAUUGGUUUAAUGCCACAUUCCAUUAUUAGUUUAAUAUAUUGUAGCUCACUAUUUUUUUUGAACUUUAUGGAGAAGGCAUGAGUUUUUUAAAAAAAUUGAGAAAUGUGUAUAAAAUGAAUAAAGAGGCUCACUAAAGUUGAUUUGGCAGGUAUUAAUAAAUUAUUUGUGUGAUGAGUUUUUUGUAAAUAUUGUGUGUGAAUGAGGGUAAAAUAUAAAGGUACAUAUGUCUUAAAAGGGACGGAAAUGACAAAUACUUAUUGUGGAUAAAGGUAGUAUAAUAUACGGAGUGUAUACUUAAGUUUAUCAAUUUUAUUACUAAAUUAAAUAUGGUUAAUUUAAUAUCAAUAUGCUUAUUAGUAAUUAGUAUUACUCCAUUCAUCCCAAAAACAUCAAUCUUUACUUAUUUUUUCGUUCGUCUCCAAAACAUCUUCCUAAUCUAUUUUUAUGUCCUGUAUUAAAUUUUCAAGCUAGUUUCACUCCCCAACUAUCGUUUAAAUUAUACAUACAUAUAUGGACGACUUGAAAAUUUGUUAAGGCAAUUGAUUAUGCCCAUGCCGUAUAGAAUCAAAAACCAUUCCUAAACAAAAAAUAGAAUAAUUAAGAAAAUAAUCUAGAAUAUAAAUAUAGAACUUAAAUUCUUUGCCACAAAUUUAAGUCAAUCAGCCGACAUAGUAAAUGUAUGUGUUUACAAGUAAUCAUGCCUUGUCUUGAGAUUCAAGUUGGCAAUUGAAGCAAAAUUUCUCACACAUAGCUAUCUACUCUAGCUAUGAAAUCAUGCAUUGUCUUGAGAUUUAAUUUGGCCCAUGAAUCCAAAUUUUGCAAUCAUGCCAUGUCUUAAGAUUCAAUUUGGCCCAUGAAACUAAAUUUCUUGAGCCUAUCUCUAACCUCUUUGAUAUUCAUAUAUAAUAACACCUUUAAAACACACACAACCCACUUCUAAAGUUCUACAUGUAUACACACGAACUCAUGCUUAUGUCACAAAUUAAGUUUUUCAAAAAUAAACUUUUCCCUAUUUGAAUUCCUUAUGUAUUCAGUUUGUUUUUAAUAUUUAAACUAUGUUAUUACAACAAAAUUAUCUAGCAGGGACAUGAUUUUAGCAACAUAAAAAAAGAUGUCAUAAAUUUCUUACUCCCUCCGUCCUCCGAAGCUUGAUCAACAAUUUCUUUUCGGCACGGAGUUUAAGGAGUUAAUAUUUUGUAUGUUAAUUAGUGUGGUAGGUGAAAAAAUGAAAAGAUGAAUAACGGGAAAAGUUGUUGCCAUAUAAGGAAAGUGAUCAAGCUUCGCGGAUAACCCAAAAAUGAAUACUGCUCAAGAUUCGCUGGAAGAAUGAAGUACAAUUUUAGGCAUAACAAAAAUUUAUUUACAUCCACACAUGCAUGCACCGAUACUUUAUCACAUGCAAAAUUACAAGUAACUUUGCUAAUUACAAAAAUUAAUACAUGAACCCUCAAAUGUCACUAGAUGUAAUGAUAUUUUUAUAUUUUUUCGACACACAUAAUAGUUACUCAUCACAAAAUAUCAAUAUUUUUAUCAUAUAGUGAUAUUUAUAAGUUUCACAAUUUUUCAAAUAUUAUGUCAAUGCUAGCUUAGACAUUUUGUUUUGACACUUUGUAUUGAAACAUGUUUUUUACAAAAAUAAAAUAAUUGAAUUUAUUAACGAAUAUUUAAACAAUCAAUCAAUAAUAACUACAAAGUGAAGCAAUUCAAGUUAAAAGGUAAAUUCUAAAUUUAAAUUUGAAAAACAAGAAAAUUCGAGCCUUAAUUUUUUUUAUUUUUUUAUAUACGCACUACAAAUCUCCCAUAAAUCUUAAAUCAAAAUUUAACCUUACAACAAAAAAUAAAUAUAUAAACUAAAAUGGAGUAUGAUAAUAUAGUUUUAUCAAAUUAUUUGAUAAUUCUAUUAAUAAAAGAUAAAAAAAAAAAUAAGGGGGGCCCACGGGCAUGCUGCCCCCAUAUGCUAUGGACCAUGGUGGCUAGGUCACUGCGCUCUCGAGAUCUACACUAUUUAUACGUGGUAUUCAUUGCGAAUUAUUUUGCAUUAUCUUUGUUUAUUUUUCUUAUAUUGGGAAAGAAAACAUGAGUAAUAUAUAGUAAUCUUUUAGAAGUCCAGUUACCAAUGUCGUCAAAAUUAUCUUGUCUAUUUUUAGAAGUUCAGAUAAACAUGCAACACAUUUUCAGAAGAAAUUUAAUAAUCUCUUACGAUUUACAUUUAUUUUUUAAAUAAUUAUCUCAGUGGUGAUAAAAUAAAAAAAUCGACUACAUUUUUCUAAGUAAUUUAUUAGAUACAAAAUAUUAUGAUUUAUGUUUGUAUAUUUUUUGUUUCCCAUUAGUGCAUUAUCAUUUCUAAGUAUCUUCUCACUUGUUCACUGAUUCACUAUUGGAUUAACAUGAAUAUACGAAUUUCAUAGUAUACCAACUGUUCGAUAAAAGUCCUAAAAGAAAUCUUCCAUAGAUAACCUUGCAAAUAACAGGAAACUAAAAUUACUCCCAAAGCAUUCCAUACAUAGAGAUGCGGAUUACCUUAUUCGUAGACUUAACGAGAGUACACUCGAUCGCUAGUCCUUAUUUACGACCCAAACUACACAUACAUUACAAAAUCACACAACUUGACGAAUGUUUCCACCGAGCUCCUUCCUGCUCUUGGCAGCGACGCCGACGUUUUGCACCAUGGUGGCCGUGAAAUACCACGCCACGAUGUCGUGUCUGGCGACGACUUGCCCCGUGGAGGCGGAGAGCCCGACUUGGACCUGCUCAGGAAGGAAGCCGCUCAAAUCGUACACAUAGCUGACCUCGAACGCUUUCGAGCCGGCGGUGACGUGGACGUCGAUCAUCUUCGUGGCGGCGGCGUAGUUGAUCCUUGCCGUCACCUGCUGCCCGAUUAUGGAGCCGUCGACCUCCGUCGUGUUGCCGGAUGACCUAGAGCCGAUGUCGAUGCCGAUGUGGGGAUAGUUCGGAUCCCACGCGCCGUUGACGUAGGUGUCGAACUCGACGGCGAAGACCGAGGGGCUGCUGCCGGAGGAGCCGAAGAUUCCGAGGUUGGAUCCGCUAGAGGAGGAAGGGAUGGUGGACCCGACGGGGGCGAUGAAGAAGGCGAGGCCGUCGGCGGCAGAGUUGCCGGGGCCAGGUGUGAUGAUGAAGUUUACGGUGGUUUCAAAGUCGACUUGGCCGCCGGUUUGUGAGAACUGGACCGGGUUCGAGUACAAUACCCGGCCAACUUUGGCGGUCUGUGCGUCGGUGAGGCGGAGGAAGGUGGAGUCCGACGGGAAAUGGGCGUCGCCUUGGUAGGUGAGGUCGGUCGGCUGGUCGCCCCAGAAGUCGUAGGUGAAGGACGUCGAUUGGGACUGCGCCACGUUGGCGGCGGCGAGGAGUAGGGCGACGGAGGAGAGGAGAGGAAUUAGGGUUUGGAGAAGCUUGGCCAUUGCUUAAUUGAUUUGGAUGUGGUGGAUGAUGGUGAUAUGUCUUAAGCUUGCACUCCUAUAUAUACUAGUGUAGUUCAUGCAUGAUAAUGUUGUUUAAUCAUCAUAUAUUUUAUUUCAUUAAAAUGAAUCACCUCGUCCAUUCGAGGUAAAUGAACCAUGUGAUCUUAUGUACUACCAGCCACAUUUUAAUUUGCUCGUUGGAAUAUUAUCUAUAGUUGUAUCUAUUGUAUUUGUAUAAAUGAUUUUUGGAAGGGAACUUAGAAAAAGUUCUUGAUAGGGGCUGUAUUUUUUAAUUUCAAGUGCAAAAUUAAGUUUUGAUAGACAAUUUACUUAUGAUUCAAUUUAACGAUCGGGUUUUCUGAAAAAAAAAAAUUCACACAAAAAAUCGAUUAUUUAAUAAUUUUAUAAGAAAAAAGAAGAAGAAGAAAUUUUCUAUUUAGGAUAUACACGAGCAGAUGAGAUCCUCUGUCCCACUAUUUUGUGUGUACCACCAUGUACCAUUCUUAAUUUAUUUAUUUUAGUAAUUAUUUUUUAUAAAAAUAAAAAUUAUUAUUAUAUUUUUUAUUUUCAUUUAAGUGAGUUACUAGAUUUAUUUGGGGUGAGCACAGGUUAUUUUGGAAAAGGAGAAUAUCUGUAAGAUGAUGUGAAAAUUAUUCAAUAUAAGCACAUAUAGGGGUUGAGUUCUCAAAGGAACUUAAUUAAUAUCCAAUGUGAUUGAUACAUUUCGACUAAAUGGAUGGACUGUGACGCCCCGACCAAAAGUAAAGAGUGAUUGUGAUCGGUGCACAAGGCAUGGAUGAAAAGCGGUUCCUAGUAAUGCUUCGAUACGGAGGAUACAUGAAUGAAUCGAAACACACCAGAAAGAGAGGGAUUCCAUGAGUACGUACGCAGGUAUAUGACUGCAUAUUCGAGGAGCUUAAAUAAUUUUAUUGGUGUUACUCAUAUCAACAAGAUGCAUCUUCUUUUUUGGUGACCAUAUGAAAUAAACUCCAAGGUUAAGCGUGCUUGGCGUAGAGCAACUUGAUGAUUGGUGACCUCCCUAAGAAGUUUAUCAGAAAGCGUGCUAGUAAGAACAAAACAUGCUAGAAAAGACUCAUAUUAGUCUGUGGGGACAGCCGUUAAAUUUGGAUUCGGGUCUUUACAAGUGGCAUUAGAGAUUAACCUCUCACAGUAUGGUGCGGUUCGGGAACGAACCAAGCGGAAGUUGGUACUCAAUAUUCCAUCUAUUGUGAGUUUCUUUGUCUUCUUCAUCUUUCUUUUACUCUGCUGUCGAGUUUCAGAGAGUAAUCAGAUAGGUUUUCAUUCGAGUUGAGUUUCUUGAGUGAUAAACUGUUAAUUGUGAGUUUCAUUCGAUCAUUUGUUGAUUAUAAAUAUCUGCACAUGGAUAUUGGUCAAUUUAGAUACACUGAUCUUCAAAUUGAUUGACGAAUCUUUAGAAUUCAAAAUUUAAAUCAAAUACGCGUGUUCAUAGUUAAUUGGUAAGUACACUUUUUUUUNAUAUAAAUAUAAUUGACUCGAGAUCUCUGCUACUUACGCAUACUUCGCUCGAGACAAAAAUAAAUAAUUGAUCAUUGAGAACUCCGCUACCACACCAUACUCGUGUACUAUUUAUCAUUGUUUAUGAUUAUUAAUAAAGACGUGUCUUUGCCUGAUAAAUUUAAUUUUCAUACUCUUGAUUCUUUUUUGGCCAUAUCAUUUUUUAAAAAAUUGGGAGGGGAAUGGUGGAAAUUGAAUAUGAAAAAUACCAGUCAAAUGAUACAUGUGCACUUUCAAAGACAAAACAUAAAUGUAACCUUCGUUUGUAAAACAUAGAAAUUCUACCAUAUAUUUGUGAUUAUUUUACCUUUAUACGAUCUAUUUAUAUAUAUUUAUUAGAAUUAAUAAAAAUAUACUACAUUCGUCCACGAAAAAGAAUCUCAUUGUGUGCUGGAUGUGAGUCGUAUCGAGAGUGAGAGGGAACACAUUGUCUCCGGUCUCUGCCGUCUUGGCGAGAUCUUCGGCAUUGGCCUGAUCCGGCCGCUGAGGUGGCCGGUAGGUCAUCCAUGGAGUAUGGCUAUAUUCAUACUCGUAUCCCAUUUUGGUUGUAGAACAAGAAGGCGGUGUUGUUGAAAUCGUCGUCGUUGAUAUCCUUUGGAAAACCGGCUGGGAUAGUUUUCGCCAUUAGAGUGAUGUGCGUAGAAGAGAGGAUCUUCCGGCGGUCUUCGCGGAAACCGUUGUCGCGUGUCCAUAGUUCAUGGAUUGAAAAUAUGCAGGUAAAGCACCCGGCGUACUCGGCCAUACAAUUAACUCGCCAUCAUGAGCUAUAAUUCUAUUCGAGUAAGUUCAAUCUCUAAUGAAUUAAUAUAUUUUUAUAAAUAUAUAAUUUGCAAAAUAACCUUAAAAUAAAAUAUGUAAUAAGGGUAAAAUAGGCAAUCCACAUGUUGUGCUCAAUGCUCUUUUUAUAUUACUAGGAGAAAGAUAAUUAAUGUUAUUUUAUCUAAUAAAAUAAAAAAUAUAAAUAUAAUAUUUAUUAUAUUUAAAUUUUUAAUUAACAAUUUUGUUUAUUUAAUUCUCUUAUCUCUUACAAUAUUUUUUUUUAGAAAAUCUAUUAGUUCAUUACUUCGACUAAAUAUAAUUUAUUGGAUAGAUAUAUUUAUUUAUAAGCCUUAUCAAUAGCUAUAGAUAUAUAUUACAUAGAUUUAAUGUAAUAUUUAAUGAAUCAAUAGCUCUUUUCUUUUAUAUUAGUAUAGAUUAUAUAGAUAGAUAUAUAUAGUGCAUGCAUGAUAAUGUUGAUUGAUCAUCGUAACUAUAUAAUUUAUUGCACUAAUAAUGAAUCACGUUCCCACUCGAGGUAUAUAAAAUGAAUCAUGUGACCUUUUCUACUACCCGACACAUUUUGCUCCUUGGAAUAUUAUUUAUAAUUGUGUCUAUUGUAUAGUGCAUGCAUGAUAAUGUUGUUUAAUCAUCAUAAAUCUUCAUGGCUCAUCCACCUCAUCCAAUCGAAGCAUAUAAUGAACCAUGUGAUCAUAUCUACUACCUGACACAUUUUGCUUCUUGGAAUGCUAGCUAUAAUUGUAUCUAUUGUGUGAAUGUAAGCAAAAGGGCGCGCACAAUUUUUUAUUUUUUUUUGGAUAGGUGACUCGCUCAAAAUACCUAUUGAAUUGACUCGUAAUCGCACGAGGUCAUUCUAGCGUAGUAAGCUAACCCAUGUCGUAUCUCACAAGGAAGAUUAAGCAGGACGACUAAUUUUGGAUUAUUUUUAAUCAAAUGUUGGAUAUUUUUUAAUUAGAGUAAAAUUAAAAUAAGUAAAUUAUUGUAUAUUUUCAGAUUCGGAAACUAAUGGCUUUAUUUUAAUUUAAUCAUUUUCAUAUGUCAGUUAUAUUAUGUAAAUGACGUUUUUAGUAACAAACAAAUGACAUUUUAAUCAAUAAAUGAUACUUUUAUCAAUAAUAAAUGAAACCAUAUUAAGGUAAAUAGGGUAAAGGUUAGACUUAACUGUGAAAGCAUCAUGAGUUUUAUGUGUAACAUUUUCGGUGUGAAAAUUGAUGAGUUAAAAAAAAUGCUCCAUAUUGAAUUCGACAUUAGAUGAAUCUACAGUAGAUUUUCAUGCAUGAUCUAAGAGCUGAAAAUGAUUCACGGUCUAUAUUUAUUCUAUCAAAUUCCAUAUCACUUUAAAUCUCAAAUUACAUUUGCACUAUAUAUGAUUAUAUCCUAAAUUAUCAUAAAUAUGAACCGCUUAAAUCUGGCGUCGUUGCACCGCGGACAUCUUGCCGCUGCUUUCUCCCACCAUUGCCCUUGCUGCCCUCAUCUUAGGUGCCAAUUUUUUGCUCGUCGUGCAGAAUUUGAAAGGGGUAAAUUAUUUUUUCAAUUUUUUAUUGCAUUUUGCUGUCUAAGUUGAUUUCUCAAGUAAAGUGGACUUGGGUUUUGUUUCGAUUAUAGCUGAAUUCGAUGGCGCUGUGUGGUUAGAUCUGUAAUUUUGACGUGUUGUUGAAGUGUGCGGGAUUGAAUGUGAUCUGGGAGAAUUUAAGGGUUUUGGGACGUUAGUAUGAUGAUGGUGGGAUUUGAAUGAAUUUGAAUACCAGAUUAUGGUUGAUGUUUAAUUAUGUGAAUCUUGCGAUCUGUGUUGAAAUUAAUGUACAGUAUCUUCGCCUAGCCGGGGGUUCACCAUUUGGUUCCCGACCGUCCUGCUGCCUUCACUCCACACUCAAGUGCCAAUAUCUUCUUCUCGUUUCUCUUCCUUCUUCUUCUCCUCUUAGUACCUGCAAGACAGAAGGAAAAACCAGCAAGUAUAAAGAAAAAUCAGAAAACUUAAAGAAGUAAAGAAAGAAAGAAAACAAAGGAAACUCGAGGUGGGAAAAAGGUGUCCUCGGGACACAGGUGGCUCAGAUUUUUCCCACAGUGGCAACACACUCCGGCAGCUCAAAGACCACGGCACAAAGGGGAAGGGAAGUCAGAUCGGAGCUCAAAUCUGACGAGCACAGCCACCAAUAAUCAGGAAUCCGGUGGACAGGAUUCCGGCGGCUCAGAAAUCCUUCGCUUUAUCACCAAACAGGAAAUCUAAGGUCAGCAAUCCGACAAUAAUGCUAUCAACAGGAGGAAGCUCUCACUUUACGGCCACAACACCGGAAACCAGAACGGAAACCAGAGAACAGAAGGAAUAGCAGAGCCUUCAAGGUUGUGAACAUACUACAGAACUUCCCCCAAUCGAUUGCUUUAUAACCGAGACAGAGAAGGGUCGGGAAGAUGUAGUGGGCUUUGGGAAGGAGGAGGAAGCCAUUAAUGGUGGUGGAGCUCGAGGGAAAGCGAGAUCAGCAGUCGUGAAGACUUAGGGUUUGGGAGGGGAUUUGAGGUGGAGCGGCGGAGGUUGAAAUGAGGGAAAGGCCGAGUGAGAGAGGGAGUAUUUCAGUGGAUAAUGGGCUAGGGUAUUUUUGAGUUAACGGGCUAUAGGUGUCUGGGCCCAAAAGUUGGGCCAGAGAAGGGAUAAAGAGCAUUGGGCCAACAUUCCACAAUUAAGACAAUUAAGAGUAGAAAUUCUUCUUGAUUUGCUAAUUUAUUUAGGAUUAGCGAUAUUAGUUUGGAGUUUUAGAUGUCGAUUGAUUUCGUGAUCUUGAUUUAUGUGAUAAAUGCCUCUCAUCACUAAGAUUUGGAAUAUAUUGGAUAUCUAGGAUAGUGAUAUUAGUUUGGAGUUUUAGAUGUUGAUGUGUCUUUUUAGGCUGCGUUUACUUUGAUGGAUAAAUUUAUAUAUGGAAAAGGAUGGAUAACACAAAUUUAUGCUUUUAAAUGUCUCCUUCCUCUUCCAACAUUUGACACAAAAAGAGAUGCUCGCUAUUUUUUCUUCCUUAUCUUCACUUCAAGGAUGGAUAAUAUUAUCCCUCCAUUUUGGUGUGAUAAUAUUAUCCAUCAUUGAAGUGAAGAUAAGGAAGGAAAAAUAGUAGAGCAUCUCUUUUUGUGUCAAAUGUUGGAAAAGGAAAGAGACAUUUAAAGGCAUGAAUUUGUGUUAUUCAUCAUUUUCCAUAGAUAAAUUUAUCCAUCAAAGUAUACGAAGCCUUAUGUGAUAAAUGCUUUUUUAGGGGGGCCCACGGGCAUGCUGCCCCAUAUGCUAUGGAGUAUGGACCAUGGUGGCUCGGUCACUGCGCUCUCGAUUGCGAAUUAUUUUGCAUUAUCUUUGUUUGUUUUUCUUAUAUUGGGAAAGAAAACAUAGAGUAAUAUAUAUUUUAGAAGUCCAGUUACCAAUGUCGUCAAUCUCGAGUGAAAAUAAAUAUUACCAUAACACAAAAAUGACAAAGCUAUUGAUUAGUGACGAUAUGUUAGAAGUUCAGAUAAACAACACAUUUAUUCUUGUGUAUAUUAUAUUAACGUUUAUUAUAUAUUAUAAAAAGAACAUAUUCUUUCAAAAUUAUCUUGUCUAUUUUUAGAAGUUCAGAUAAACAACACAUUUUCAGAAGAAAUUUAAUAAUCUCUUACGAUUUACAUAUAAUUUUUAAAUAAUUAAUUAUCUCAGUGGUGAUAAAAUAAAAAAACGAAGUAAUUUAUUAUAUACAAAAUAUUAUGAUUUAUGUUUGUAUAUUAUUUGUUUCCAUUAGUGCAUUAUCAUUUCUAAGUAUCUUCUCACUUGUUCACUGAUUCACUAUUGGAUUAACAUGAAUAUACGAAUUUCAUAGUAUACCAACCGUUCGAUAAAAGUCCUCAAAGAAAUCUUCCAUAGAUAACCUUGCAAAAGUACGUGUAUCUAUAUUAAUAGAAUAAGAGCCUAAGGAAUCUUAAAACACAAUUUUUGGAUUGCCUAUUUUACCACUAUUAUAUAUUAUUUUAAAAUUAUUUUACAUAUUAUAUAUUAAUAGGAAUAUAUUAAUUCAUUAGAUAUUACACUAAAUCUAUGUGAUAUAUUUCUAUAGCUAUUGAUAAGGCUUAUAAAUAAAUAUAUAUCCAUCUAAUAAAUUAUCUAAUAAAAGUAAUGAAUUAAUAGAUUUUUUAAAAUAAUAAAUUAUCAAAUAAAAUAACAUUAAUUACACACGUACGUUCUUUCUGCUAGCUAGUUAAAUAAAAAGAAGAAGAAACUGAGACUGAAAAAGGGAGAAUUAAGAUAGUCCAUUAUUAUCGUCUUAUUUUUAGAACUUAAACGAGAGAAAAGUCCAUCGCUAGUCCUAAUUUACAACACAACACAACACAUGAUAAUAAAUUUAAAUCACACAUAUUGCCGGAUGUACCCUUCCUCCUCUUUGCCGGCGGCGGCAUGCACGAGGGUGGACGUGAAAUACCACGAGACGAUGUCGUGCACGGCGUCUUGGCCUCCGGUGGCCGCGGAGAUCCCGACCUGAACCUGCUGAGGAAGAAUGGCGCUCAGGUCGUACACAUAGCUCACCUCGUAUGUUUGCGAGCCGGCGGCGAGGCUCACGCUGAUCAGCUUAGUGGCUUCCAGGUAGUUGAUGCGCGCAGUCACCUGCUGCCCGAGCAACGCGUUGCCGACGUUGGUCACGUUUUUGGAAACAUUAGAUUCGAUGUCGAUCCCGAUAUGGCGAUAGCUAGGAUCCACUCCGGGGUUGGAGAAGACGUCGAAUUCCACGGCGAAGACGGCGGGGCCGACGCCGGAGGAGUUGAAGAUUCCGAAGCAGCCGCCGGUGAAGCCGAGGGGUAAGCCGACGGGGGCGAUGAAGAAGGUCACGCCGUCGGCGGGGUUCGUGUCGCCUGCGUUGGGGGUUACGGCGAACGUCAGGGUGGUCUCGAAGUCGACCUGCGCGCCGGCCUCCCAGAACGUGAUCGGGGCUGAGUACACGGCCCGGCCGACGCUGUACUGGACCGCGCUGCCGGAGCUGGUGGUGUUGGUCAUGCGGAGGAAGGUGGAGUCCGACGGGAAGUGGGCGUCGCCUUGGUAGAGGAGAUCGGUCGGCUGGUCGCCCCAGAAGUCGUACGUGAAGGCUGUCGAUUGGGACUGCAUGCGCCGUGUUGGCGGCGGUGGCGAGGAGGAGGGCGAUGGAGAUUAGGGUUUGGAGAAGCUUGGCCAUGGCUUAAUUGAGUUAGUAGUAUUUGCUUUGGAUGUGGUGUGAUGAUGGUGUAUUGGUGUUAACUCUUGCUCCUAUUUAUGCUAGUAUAGUGCUUGAAUGAAAAUGUUAUUUAAAUUAACAUCAUAUUUUUUAUUACACAAAAAUGACUCACCCCAUCUUCUCGAGAUUAACUGAACUUGUGAUCUCUAAUAAUUUAUAACCUACCACAUUGUAGUUGUUGGAGUAUACUCCCUCUGUCCCGGUUUUAGCACGAGUUUUAAUAAAUUGGUUGAUUGUAUUAUGAGUAGAAUAAGGAUAAUAUUUUUUAUGGAAGUGUUAAAAUAAUUAAAAUUGAGAAAAUGUUUCACCUAUUUUUAUUAAAAAUAGAAAUGAAUUUUAAAAUAUGGGACGACGGCCAGAAAAAGAAAAUAUAUAUGGAUACUAAAAGUUGGGACGGAGUGAGUAUUAUCUAUAGUGGUAUCUAUUGUAUGAGUACAAGAGAUUUACUUGACUUGUUGAGGUAUGGAGAGAUUAUUACAAACCACGUGAAAUUGAGUUCUUGCUCCCACUGUAAAAGCAAUAAAUAUAGGGAAAAGAAAAUUAAUACUUCCUUCGUCCAAGAAAUGAGUACACAUAUUUCUUUUUUAGUCCGUUCAUGAAAUGAGUACUCAUUAAUUUUUCUUUUUAUCAAGUGUACCUCACACAACCCUUUAAUUAAUUAAUACCUUUAAAAAGUGGGUCCCUUAUUCCACUAACACCACACUCAAUCAUUUCUUAAAACCUGUAACGUCCCCAAAUGAGAUUCAUUUCGUGGAUUGAGUAAAUUCUAUACUACAAAUUAAUGGUUCGAAUUCACUUUAAAAAAUAAACUACAAUUAAGAGUCCCUCUCUUAAUUGGAAUUCAUAGACCAUCUGCUUCAGUCGUGCCCGAAGACAGAAAAGGUUUGGAUUGGAAUUCAUAGGUGGCUAGGGAAUAAAAGCAGUGUGGCCUCAAUCAUUGAAGCACACUUCGAUUUGUUCACAAAUCUUGACAAAGGAAAGGAAGGUCGAUUUUUCUAGCGACAGUAUGGGUCUAUACCAUUUGGUUGCUGUGGAAAUGACGUAACGAGAGCAGAUUUGAGGGCAAGACUUGGGAGAUCAAUGACGUGAUCGAAGAAGUGAAAGUGAGGAUGUGGAGUUGGAACAAGAUUUUUGGACUACAUGUUAAAGAGAUUAGCUCUCAAUCUUGGUUUUCUUGUGAAACUCCUCUUGUUUUGUGUAAUUUGGUCGUAUCUCUGGUACCAAACUCUCUCCUAAUAAAAUUUCUUUUCUGAUUAAAAAAAAAAAAAAGAGUCCCUCUCUUAAUCAAGUAGACUGGAUGCGGUAAGAGAGAAAUCACUUCCAACUUAUCGAUUUUACUAGCAACAACUAGAUUUAUACUGAAGCUAAAUUGGAUCAGACUCUAGGAUUCACUAGUCUUUUACUCAAGGUGAGUCGGUUUACGAGUCUCAAACUCAAGGUGAACUAGAAUGUCUGUCAAUACGAACGUUGGGAGUUCGAGGGUUUUUUAGGACAGUAACUUAGAUUGAUUUGGAAAUUAGGACAAUAACUUUCGGACUUGUAAAAAUAGGACUCUAAUUCUUUUUAAGAGUAAAAUAGGACACUAAUUAAUAAGUGUUACAUCCGCAGGACAUUUUUCGGCCAAUUAUCGGCCGAGAAAUGUCCUACUUUUACGACGCUUAUUAAUUAGUGUCCUAUUUUUACAAAUUCGAAAGUUUUGUCUUAAUUUUCAAAUCAACAUAAGUUAUUGUCCUAAAAAAUCCCCUGACUCCGAACGUUGGAACAAGCUCGGCAAUAUACUGCUAUUCAACAUUAAUGGCACUUUGCACUAAAUGAAUUGGUGUCGAAUUAAUACAUCGUCUUGCUGCUCAUAUCUAUAUAAUAAAUGCAUACCUGCACCUCGAUAUUAAUCAAUUUAGAUACACUAAAUCUCGGAUAUACUUAACAAAUGGAUUAAUAAAUGUAUAAAUUUUAGAUUUCAGAAAAUCAAAUACAGGUGUUCAUAAGGAAAUGAUUAAAAACCCGUGUGUCAUUUAGAUAAGAUUAUUAUAGUACAGUUAACGAUGGUGAAAUAUUCUUUUACAUUAGAUAUAAUAGCAUUCCAGAUCUCAAUGGCAUUUUUUGUUAUAACAAAAAAAAAUUGUAUAUGUUCCAUACUAUCCUCAAACUUCAAAUUAUUAUUUUUCUUUAUUUUAAAAUUUGUAUUGGCACAUAUCUGUCAAUUAAUCAAAUUCAUAUCAAAACAAUAAUUCGAAUGAUAUAUUAGUUGGCUAGCUAUAAAUUACAAAUUAUUAGUGAUUAGGCAUGUUUUACACAAAUUAUUAGCCCAAACAACAUUUGAUUGUGUGCAAUGCACACACUUACUAAAAGCAGAUGUGAUCAUCUGUCCCACAAUUUAGUGUGUAUCACCGUGUACCAUUCUUAAUUUGUCUAUUUUAUAAUUAUUUGUUGUAAAAAUAAAAAAAAUAUUGUUAUAUUAUGAACUCUAAUUAAAAUUUAUAACUAAAAAUAAAAAUUAAAAAAAAUUAUAUACCCUAACUUUGAAUUAAUUAACCCAAAUAAUCAAUUAUUAAUUCAAAUAAAUAUAAAAAAUAAUUAUAAACUCUAAUUGAAUGAGUGAACCCUUAUUAAUUAGUUUCUUAUUAUAUUAUAAUAAAUUAAAAUUGAAGAAAAUAUAAUUAUAUAUUAUAAUAAAUUAAGAGUGGUACACGGUGGUACACACUAAAUUGUGGGACAGAUCCAUGUGCACUAAAUUAUAGGUACGGAGGUGCGGAUGCGGGGGCGAUACGAUACGAGUACGGGGAUACGGGUUCUAAAAAAUUAUAGGGUGCGAUUCGGCAAGGAUACAUCUAAUUAUUAAAAUUUUAUGAUAUACUAAUUGUUAGAAAUGGAUAUUGGGCCAAUUCCUCCCUUAAAAGGCCUUAUAAGGGAGAGGGUUACCUCACCAUAUAAAGUGGCUCAUGCCACUAUCUCCAAUCCAAUGUGGGACACUUCAAUACUAAUGCUUAUAAAAUAUAUACAAUUUAAAUUUUCUUAAAUUAAUUAUAUGUAAUUUACAUUUUAUUUUACCCAAAAGUUAAGCAUUUUCAAUUAUAUAAGUUAAUUGAGCAACAAUAUAACGAUUCAAAUAUUAUUAGUCCAAUAUAUAAGUCAUAACUGAAAAUAAAAUUAUCAAAAUAACCUUGUGUAGGCCUUUCGUGCACGAGAUACGUGAAUUUCGCCUAUGGAAUUUGCAAAUCCGGUUUAUUUUUAUAAAUUGUUUUAAAAGAUACGCACUGGUGAAUCGGUGCGAAUCCGACAAGAAUUCGAGAAAUCACACCCUAAAAGAAUCCGAUUCGCCGUACAUCUAAUUUUUGAAGAAUCCGUGCAUCAUAGGUGAGAAGAAACACAAGAGAGUAAAAUGGUACAUAAUGUAGAAAGACUUUUCUCCAAAAUAAAUGUUACAGUCUUCUAAUAGUCGAAAGGCGCAUGAAAAUGCGCAGUUAUUCGAAAGAAAGGAAAGGCUUAUUCAGCCACACAAUGACAUGGAAUUCGAAUUGAAAUUGAAAUUCAGACAAAUCCCAAACACGGUGAUGCAGAGAUCAAGCGGUAACACGAGGAAUGAUCUUAAUACCACCGAUGGUAACUUCGUCGCCGUUAAUGUGGGGAACGAUGGUGACGACAAUGAAAUCAUCAUCAGCAAUAUUGAUGUUCUCAUAGAGCUCCCUCAAGUUCAAGCGAAGGUCGUUGGCGCUUUCCGCAGCCCUAACCCUAUGCGGAAUCUGCGUGAAACUGCCGGCGAACUCGGCCCUGGCGAGGUCCUCUGGCUUGUCGUCUUCGUCAUUCACGAACACAUCGAACCUCACGAGCUUCGAACUAUCGGUGAUUAUGUUCUCCAGCACGAGCACUUCGUCGGCUUUGCCUUUGGUUGGUUUGGGCACCAAAACCCUGUGAGUCUUGUUGAGAGUGAGAGGGAACAGAUUGUCUCCACUCUCUGCCCUCUUGGAGAGAUCUUCGAUAUUCACCGGCACCUCCCUCCGCGGUGGCCGGUAGGCUGUCCACGGAGUUUCGCUGUGUUCAUACACGUAUCCCAUUUUGGUGUGGUCCAAGCAGUCGGCCACCUUGACGCGCACGAGGUUCUUCUUCUCGUCGUAGAACAUGAACGCCGCGUUGUUGAAAUCGUCGGGGUUGGGGACGACGAGGUCGUUGAUAUCCUUGGGGAAAACGGAUGGGAUAGUUUUCCAUAUGGUCCACAUUCUGUCGACGUUAGCGUGAUGUGCGUAGAAGAGAGGGUCUCUUCCGGCGGAGUAGAAGUUCCCCAUGUCUUCGCGGAAAUCGUUGGCGGGGUUUCCGGUCCAGACGUGGACGCCGCCGUGUGAGCCGCCCUCCGACAAUCCUCCCUUGGCGCGUGGCGGGGGCAAGUCCCCGGAAACGUAAGGAUCGCCCAUGAAGUCGAUGGCGGAUUCGACAUCACCAAUCAUUUCCUUGUACAUCUGAGUGAGAUUGUUUUCGAUGAUCGUUACAGGAUCGGUGAUCGGGGGGGUGGUUAUGGCAAGAGCAACGAGGGCCGGGGGGCGAUGCGUUGGGUCGCGGUUGACGUCGUAGAGCGGGGAUUCUUCCCUGUCGAACGGCCUGGGCAUCUGCAUACCCCUAGGGUUGUCCCAGUUCCAGUAGGGCAGGGCGAAAUCGGGAUCUCCGAUGAGUUCGCCCAUGAUCCUCUCGAAGAAAUAGAGGUACCACCUGUGGAAGGGGUGGAUCCAGAAUUUGUCAUUAGGAGGGACUAAAUUUGUUGAAGCAUGACGUCUCAAAUUAUUAGCCAAUUUUUUUUAGCAUUCCAUACAGUUCAUUUUUUUGUCGAACUACAUUCGAUUAAUUCAACAACAAGAACAUUGAAAGCAUAUAAAUACUUACCUCUCAAAAAUUGUUUCAUCUUCUAAGAAGAUAAGCUAAUUUUCAUCAUGGCAGUUCAUAAUUUUAAUUUAACUUGAGGAUUGACUCAAAUUCAACACUGAGAAUCAACUAAGAAAGGAAAGUAGACAAAAAUAACAUAAAUUUAACAAACUAACAUAUCAAAUUUAAAUCACUAUAAAAUAUUAAACAGUUAAAACGUGGAUACUAUAAUUAAUAAAACAAUGUAUUUUAUUAUCUCUUGUAUUUCUUAUCUAUACUAAUAGAAAAAGAGUCUAAGACAGUCUAAGGCACAACUUGUGGAUUGCCUAUUUUACCCUUAUUAUAUAUUUAUUAUUAUAUUUACAAAAUAUAAAUCUAUUUUGAUAAAUAUUUAUUUGUCACUCAAAUCUAUAAAGAAUACUUUAUAUCUAUAGCUAUUGAUAAGGCUUAUAAAUAAAUAUAUUCAUCCACAACGUACGUUCUUUCUGCUAGUAUAUAAUAAAAACAAAAACAAAAAACUCAAAAUUUGGGAGGCGGUCGAUCCGCUGCUAACCUGUGGAAAGGGAAGAAGAUCCAUGAGUUGUGAACCUGGAUAUCGAUGCCGGGGUGGUCCACCUGGUCGUAGGGGCCGUUGCAGUAAGCGCAGUGGAUGUUGGCCUGCUGAGUGAAGCCACGGGGAUCGUCGGGGUCCGUCACGUCCAGUUCCUUCAUCUUCUGGAUGGCCAACUCAUACUUGCGUACGUAUUCCGGUGUCAGCCUGUGCGCCGCCGGCCUAACGCGAGGUUUAGUGAACCUCGGAAGCUUGUAGUCGCUCUGAACGUCGGUGUAGGGCGGGCAGCAGUUGACGUCUAGAGAUAUUACCUCUUGGUUUCGAGUGGUGUAGGCACCUUCGGGGUCGCAGGUGCUCAGGUCAGGAGGCAAAAUCGGAAGCGCCUCAGCUUUGCGGAUGGCGCUGCCUGCGCCGUAUAGACCGCCCAGCCCAAGCAGCAUGUUUCUGCGGUCUAUACGGCCGCUGCCACCGCCACCGCUGCUGCAUGACACCUGAAAGCGGCCGUGGCUCCGCCGGCUGCUGAGCUGGGAGGGCUUGCGAAAUGGGGAGUUGGUGGCGGCGGCGAUCGCCGUGAAUGAAGAUUGAAGGGAAGCCAUGUUUGAGUGAUUGAUUGAUGGUCGUUGUGAUUACCUGGGGAGGCAUGUCUUUAUAUAGCAGAUGUGACACGAGUUUUAAGAAAAAUAAAUUAUCCGUUGAAUAAUUAAAUCGCCAUGUUUCUAUAAUUUAUUCCUAAUGGAUCUAGUCAAACUAAUCGUGCAAUAUUUAAUAAACCACGCAGCAUCAUUUCCGAGACUAAUAAAUGACAUUUUGAACCAGCUAAUCAAUUCCAUAUAAUUAACCAUUUGCGAGGCUGGCUGCCCUUCACUAAAUGGUUGUAUGCACUUGUCUUUGGAAAAGCUGUUUGGCCAUAUUAUGGCCAGUCAUAAUAUGGGAAAAUAUUAUAAAAGUCAUGUAUUUAAUUUUUUAUAUUUAAAAUAAAAAUAGGAUUUUAUUAGUUUUAUUUUUUAUUACAUAUUUUAGCUAUUUUUUUUUAUAAUUUUUCUGAAUUUUUUAGAAAAAUAAAAAAUAAAAUUACAAUGUGAACAAAAUUAUAAAACUAAUAAUGGUAGAGCAGCGGAGGGCACAGGUGAAGGGCAUGGCGGCGGUGUACUUAUUUUAGUCAAGUAAUUAUUAUUGCACGAAAAAAUAAUUAUUAAUAUAAAGAAAGAUAAUGUUUCAAAGACAUUAUCUUUCUUCAUGUCUAUUAAUUUUUCAUCACAAUAAUAAUUACUUCGAAUUAUCCGUGUUUUCAAUCGUGCGACCUGCACCCAGCCCGACCCGACCCGUUUCACCCAUAUAGUCAGUCUCACCCAAGUUUUUGCCUAAAGAUAAGUAUUAAUUAGUUGUGUAUGGUGAUAUGAGUCUUGUUUGUAUAAAUUAGUAGGCCUUUAAUAAUGAAUUGGCCCAUCUCAGGUGGUUUAUAUAAUUUACUCGUAUGGAUCUAAAUACAACUAAUCAUGAAAUAUUUAAUAUACCACGGAGCAUCUUUCUGAUAUACUAUUUAUAUAGUAAUUUAUUCCUAAUGGAUCUAAUCUCUGACUAUUUAAUAAUUAACUCGCCAUCGUUUAAAUAAUUUACUCCUUAUGGAUACACUCAAAGUAAUCGUGCAAUAUUUAAUAUACCACGCAGCAUCAUUUCUCAUACAAUAUUUUGGACCAUCUAACCAAUUACAUAUAAUUAAACCUUUUGCCAGGGUGGCUGUCCCUUCCACUAUAUGGUUGCAUGUAUUGAAUUGAAAUUUUAUUGAGGAAAAAAUGAAAAGAAAAACUAGGAAUUCAUUGAUAGCACGAAGACGCUAAUUAAGGGCUGAGCCUCAUCAAAACCUUUCCGAUAAAAAUCCAGUGAAAAAAACCACCAGCAAAGGAAAAAGAGUACCAGUCUAUUACAAUAAAAAAAUGAAGAACAAACUCAAGACAGGAACAACGAGAAGCACGAGAGGAUGAUAAAACAUCUAACCCGAAAAAAAAGACCCAAACCAAAGGAGCCUGACAAAUCCGGAGCCAGUACCAGCGCACCAGGAAACUGAAAAAGUUCUGGAGAAGCCACUUCGACCCAAGCACGCCAACCAUCCAAAAGAAACGACUACCACACCCACACCUAGGCCAAGAAAUAUAUAAUAUUGUGAAUAGUUCCCAUGGGAUCGAAACAGACCACCAAAACAAGAAAAAACCUCUAAGAGCAGACUACUCAUUGCCUGCCUGCCUAGUAUUCGAUGAAAUACCCAAACCAGAAAUCAUAGCAUAAAGCAAAAACCGCCACAGCUGGGGAGCGAAGAGCAGAAGGCCACCAAUAAGAUACAUUAGGAUUGCGCAAAGUCUGACAAAGAAAUCAGAAAACUUACCAGACCACUCUAGUUAAUGUAAUCUAUACAUGUCCGCACAUGAAAUUUGGUCAAGUUAGAUACACUAAUCUCAAAUCUAUUUAAUUAACAAAUUGAUUGAUUGAUAUUUUUUUCUGAGAGAAAUUGAUUGAAUAAUUUUUAGACUUCAAAAACUAAUAGUUAAUUGAUUGUUUAGAUAAGAUUAUUAUUACACUUUUAUAUAGAGAUAAUUAGUACUUGAGAUAUGUGCAAUUUACGCAUUCUUCUCUCGAGACAAAAUAAAUAUUAUUGACCAUUGAGAACUCUGCUACCACUACUCCAGUUCUAUUUAUUAUCAGUGUGCCCUCUCGCGCGCUGCACGGGUCACAACAUAUUUGAUUAUUUAAUUUUAGCUGUUUACGCAUACUUCGCUCGAGACAAAAAUAAAAUAAGAUUUAUUGAUCAUUGAGAACUCAGUACCACACCAUACUCGUGUAUACUAUAAUAUUUAUCAUUGUUUAUGAUUAUUACGUGUCUUCGCCGAUAAAUUUAAUAUUCAUUCCUUUAAUUUUUUUCUAUUGACAUUGGAAACUGUCUUGAUUCUUUUUUGGCCAUAUCAUAUAUUUAAAAAAUUGGGAGGGGAACGUGGAAGUUGAAUCUGAAAUAAGAAUCAAAUGAUACAUGUGUACUUUCAAAGAUAAAACGCAAAAUAUAUCAUUUUUUUGUAAAACAUAUAAAUUCUACUAUUUAUGAUUAUUUUAAAUUUAUAUAAUCUAUAUUUGUAUGUAUAUAUAUUCUCCAUUUGUUCAUGAAAAAGAGUCUCAUUGUAUGCUGAAUACGAGUUUUAAUAAAAUGGUUGUAAGUGUGAAAUAAAUGUAUAAUUUGUAAGAGUCUUUACAUUAGAUUAUAUUUUACUCUCUUCGUCCUAUUGAUAAUGACUCACUUUUCUUUUUCGUCUGUCUCAUUGAUAAUUGCAUGUUCCAAAAAAACUGAAACCAUUUGACCUCACAAAAUGUUGUGGGCUCCACUACUUUUUAUCACUUUUAUCCUUUAAUUACUAUUCUUAUUAAUAACCGUGUCGAACAGUAAUGAACUAUUAUCAAUGGGAGGGAGGGAGUAAUAUUUUAAUUUUGUUUGCUGCCACCACCACCACCACCACCACAAUUUAAAAAAAAAAAUCUACGUGAAUAUAGUAAUUAUUAGAACAAAAAAAUAACUAUAAUAAUAAUAUAUUAAUCCGUUAAUUAUCUAUACUAAUAUAAAAAGUGCAUUUGGCACAAAAUAUAUAUUGCCUGUUAUAUCCCUAUUAUAGUAUUUUAUUUGAAGGACAACUUUGUAAAUUAUAUAUUAUAUAUUUAUAAGAAUAUAUUAUUUCAUUAGAUAUUACACUAAAUAUAUUUGAUAUAUAUCUAGAUCUUAUGCUAUAAUUUUUUUUAUAUUAAUUAAUUAUUAUAUAUUGUGAUUUAAUAGAAUUAUACAACUCUAAUAAUUUAUAAAUGUAAAGUUCAGGGAUUGCAUGCAAUGCACACAUUCUAUGCUAGAAAAAAAAUAGAAUUCACUAAGCCGAUGAUAAAUAACACAUACAACGUACUAUUUCUGCUAGUAAAUUAAAAAUCUAUAUGAUUUUAUCUUCUAUCACUACAUUAAUUAAAAUCUAUCUUCCGUUUCAUAUUAACGGUGGUUUUUCAAUAUUUUUUAUAUUAAUUACUACAUAUUGUGAAUUUAUUACAAUUGUUAACCUCUAACAAUUCAUUAAUAUAAAGUUGAUGGAUUGUGUGUCAUGCACAAACUCUCCUGUACUCAUCUAAAAGACUCUAUAUGUGAGAAGAAACCGCAGGAGAGUAAAAUGGUACAUAACAUAGAAUAGAAAGACUUUCACAAAAUAAAUGUUACAUUCUUCCCGUAGUCGGAAGGAGCAUGAAAAUGCGCGGUUAUUCGCAAGAAAGAAAGGCUCACUCAGCCACACAAAACAUGGAAAUCCUAAACACGGUGAUGCAGAGAUCAAGCGGUAACACGCGGGAUGAUCUUAAUACCACCGAUGGUAACAUCGUCGCCAUUAAUGUGGGGAACGAUAGUGACGACAAUGAAAUCAUCAUCAGCAAUAUUAAUGUUCUCAUAGAGUUCCUUCAGGUUCAAGUGAAGGUCGUUGGAGCUUUCCGUGGCCCUAACCCUGUGCGGAAUCUGCGUGAAGCACCCGGCGUACUCGGCCCUAUCGAGCUUCUGUGGCGUGUCGUCUGCAUCAUUCACGAACACAUCGAACCUCACGAGCUUCAAGCUAUCGCAGAUUAUGUCCUCCAGCACCAGCACUUCGUCGGCUUUGCCUUUGGUUGGUUUGGGCACCACAACCCUAUGAGGCUUAUUGAGAGUGAGAGGGAACACAUUGUCUCCGGUCUCCGCCGUCUUGGCGAGAUCUUCGGUAUUGACCGGUUCCGGCCGCUGAGGUGGCCGGCAGGUCAUCCAUGGUGUAUGGCUAUAUUCAUACUCGUAUCCCAUUUUUGUGUGGUCCAAGCAGUCGGCGACCUUAACGCGCACCAGCUUCCUCUUCUCGUUGUAGAACAUGAAGGAGGCGUUGUUGAAGUCGUCGGGGUUGGGGACGACGAGCUCGUUGAUAUCCUUCGGGAAAACGGAUGGGAUCGUUUUCCAUAUAGUCCACAUUCUGUCGACGUUAGCGUGAUGUGCGUAGAAGAGAGGGUCUCUUCCGGCGGAGUAGAAGUUCCCCAUGUCUUCGCGGAAAUUGUUGGCGGGGUUUCCGGUCCAGACAGCCGCCCUCCGACAAUCCUCCCUUGGAGCGUGGCGGGGGCAAGUCUCCGUCAACGUAAGGCUCGCCCAUGAAGUUGGUAGCGGAUUCGACAUCACCAACCAUUUCCUUGUACAGCUGAUUGAGGUUGUUGGAGAUGAUCUGUACGGGAUCGGUGAUCGGGGGGUUGGUUAGGGCAAGAGAAACGAUGGCCGGGGGCCGAUGCGUCGGGUCGCGGUUGACGUCGUAGAGUGGCGACGCGUCCCUGUCGAACAUCGAGGGCAUCUGCAUGCCCCUAGGGUUGUCCCAGUUCCAGUAGGGCAGGGCGAAAUCGAGAUCUCCGAUGAAUUCGCCCAUGAUUCUCUCGAAGAAAUAGAGGUACCACCUGUGUAGGGAUGAAUCCAGAAUUUGUCGUUAGGGGGGCUAAAUCUAAAAGUAUUUGCAGUGGGGGCUCCCGUCCGCAAGACAAUUUUUUUUAACCAUUCCGUAUAGAUUUAAUUGGCUUAACAUUAGAAAUCAGUCACUUACUAUAAAAAAUAGUUGUUCGCAUUCCAUUAAUUCAACAACAAGUACAUUUAAAGCAUAUACAAACCUACCUCUGUGCAAUUUUUUAAAAUAUUAUUUCGACUUCUAAAAGAAUAAACUAAUUUUCAUUGUUAAUUAAUAGUUCAAAAUUUUAGUUUAUCUUGAAGAUUAACUCAAAUUAAAUAUUCAAUAUUACCUAAUUAAACAAAAAUGAGACAAAAAUAACACAAAUUUUUAACAAACUAACCUAGCAAAUCACUGUAAAAUGUUAAGCAAUUCUUUCUUGUAUUUCUUCUAUAUAUUAAAAACAAAAAAAUUAGGGAGGGGGCUUCAGCCCCCGUGGAUCCGCCACUAACCUGUGGAAGGGGAAGAAGAUCCAUGAGUUGUGAACCUGGAUAUCGAUGCCGGGGUGGUCCACCUGGUCGUAGGGGCCGUUGCAGUAAGCGCAGUGGACGUUGGCCUGCUGAGUGAAGCCGCGGGGAUCGUUGGGGUCCGUCACGUCCAGAUCCUUCAUCAUCUGGAUGGCUUUCUCGUACUUGGCUAUGUAUUCCGGUGUCAGCCUGUGCGCCGCCGGCCUCCUGCGAAGCUUUGUGAACGUCGGAAGCGUGUACUCUUCCUCGUCGUCCGUGUAGGGCGGGCAGCAGUUGGCGUCUAGAGAUAUUAUCUCCCCGUUUCUAGAAGUAUAGGCACCUUUGGGAUCACACUUGCUCAGGUCAGGAGGUGAAAUCGGAACCGCCUCAGCUUUGCGGAUGAGGCCGCUUGCGCCGUAUAGACCACCCAGACCAAGCAGCAUGUUUCUGCGGUCUACACGGCCGCCGCCGCCUCCAUCACUGCUGCACGACACCUCAAAGCGGCGCCUCCGCCUGCUGGCGAGCUGGGAGGUGGUGCGGAGGUUGGGGUUGGUCGUGGUCGCCAUCACCAUGAAUGAAGAUUGAAGGGAAGCCAUGCUUGAUUGAUUGAUGCUUGCAUUGCGCUCGAGGCAUGCAUGUCUAUAUAUAGUAGGCGUGGACACGAGUUUUAAGAAAAAUAAUGAUACUUAAUGGGAUUAUUUUCGAAAAUGAAUUAGGAAGAUGUUUUGGAGACGAAAAUAGAAAAUUGACCUUUUGCCAGGCUGCCCUUUCACUAAAUGGUUGUAUGCACUUAUCUUUUUUUUAUCUAUAAAGAGGUAUUUUCUCCAUUUAAAAAACUUAUCGAGGUAAUUAUGAAGACUAUUCAUUUUUAUCGUUGUAAAGUUAAUUAAAUUAUAAAAAUUAAAGUUGAUAAAGUUCUUAUUAAACAUCAUCGCUCUUCUGUCUUUGGACGACAAAAUUAAUUAUUUCAAAUAGAUAAAGAACUUGAUUUUCCGAUAUGGCUUCUCAUACUAAUUAAAUAAUCUAAUCCUAUAAUGUAUUUCAUAUAAAGUUAUCAAAUUAACAAUAUUCUGUGUGAAUUUUUUUGCCUUGAGUGUGUGUAUAGAGGUAGUCAGGGCCGGCCCUGAGGGUGGGCGGGCAUGGGCGACGGCCCAGGGCCCCAAAAAUUUGAGGGCCCAAAAUUUUUAAUAUAUCCUAUUAAUUAUAGAUCUUAUGUAUACUAACAACAUAGUUCAUCUAUUGAUUUUGGGCCCAACAUAAUUUAUUCUCAAAUUUAGAUCUAUACUUAAUAUAGAGAGUUUUCAAUUUGAAAUCAAUUUCAAAGUAAUUUCAAAAUUGAGUGACUAUUUUGUAGUUAUAAUAUUAAUAAAAUUGAAGGUUUAUGUUUAAACUAUAUAUUUUUAUUUUUAUUUUUAUUUUCAUUUUCAUUUUCUUUAACUUCUUAUUUGUUGUUACAUUUCUUUCCAAAAUUGUGAAAUUCAAUUAAUUAUAAAAUAUUUAAUAUGCAUAUCAAAUUAAAGAUCACAAUAAGAGUUUUAAUAUGAUAUAUUUUAUGAAAAAUAUUUGAUUUAAAAUGUAAAAUUUAUGCAUGUUCAAAUAUUAAAGUUUUAUAAAUUUCUCUCACCUCUCUCAUCUUUACGAAUAAAUAUAUUUUUAAUUCUUUUAAAUUAGUAUUUUAUUUUUAAUUUUUUUAACUUAUUUUUUUGUUUUUGUAUUUCAUAAUAUCAAAUUUUAUAAUUGUGAAUUCUUUUUUUAUUUUUUUUAAUAUUCAAUUCAAAUAUAUAUAAUUAAAAUUAAUUUUUUAUUAUAUUUAUAAGUAUAAUAAUUAAAUUAGUAUUAAUUUUAUAUAAAUAGUAAAAACAAAAAAUAUUUCCCGUGCAUGAGAUGCAAAUGGUAGUUGCACCUCGCCGCCGGUAAUAUAUUUAAGUAUAUAAAUUAAUUAAUAUUAACAAGGCGCCCGGUGAUCACCGGAGGCAUCCUUGCCGCUGGUAUUUCUGCCGCUACUUUGAAAAAUACGGCCGUCGGUAAAUCUGGCCGCAAAUUGUGUACGUUUUUUGGUAGUGGUAAUAUAUUAGGGCCCAAUUUUUUAAUUUCGCCCAGGGCCUCAGUUUUGUCAGGACCGGCCCUGGAGGUAGUUAUAGAAUUUAUCUUUUGUGUUCUCAAAGGAACUUAAUUAAGAUCCAAUGUGAUUGAUACAUUUCGACUAAAUGGAUGGGCAAGAUUCUUUUAACGCCCAAUAUUAAUUCCAUCUCAAAUCGGAUCUUAUAUAAUACUGUAUUUUAUAUAUUCUAUAAUGCAUUUUAUAUAUUACGUGUCUAUUAAAUUAACAUUGAUCUUAGGAGUGAUACAAGUUUAAAAAAAAGCUAGCUGUAUAUUUGGUGAGUAGAGAAGGGAUUUCAGAAAUUAGAAAAAAUGGUGAUAGGUAGUGGAAUUAUUUUAAAAAAUGGACUAAAAAGAUGUUUCAUGAACGAACGAAAAUGGCAAAAUAGGAAGAUGAGUCGUGGUCGGAGGAAAUAUUAUAAUGCAUCGUAUCCUUUUUUGGUUCGUAUAAAGAUUUUUAUUUGAUCCUCAUCGAGAACAUGCAUAUUGCGAAUACUUAAUUUAUUUCAAUAUAUAUAUAUUAAUUUAUUGGGAGCAUAUGCUAAAUAAAUUAAAUUAAUCCGAAUCAAAAGCGCUUAAUUAUCACUACAUUACAUGCAUUAUGACAAAAAGCCUGCGGCUAAAGAUCUUCAGUUUAAGUCUAUUGUCAUAUUGUUUUUAAAAUAUUAUUUAUCCAUUCCGCAUAUGGAUUGGUCAGAUUUAGAUACACAAAUCUCAAAUGUAUUUAAUUAACAAAUUGAUUGAUAAAUUUUAGAAUUCAAAAAUUAAAUCAAUCAAAUACGCGUGUCCACAGUCAAUGGAUUGAAAAUAUGCAGGUAUCUAGAUAAGAUAUAUUAUUAUUAUUAUUACACUGUUAACUAUACUGCAGUACACUUUUAUAUAUACAGACAUAAUUAAAAUAUGCAGGUAUCUAGAUAAUAAGAUUAUUAUUACACUAUUAACUAUACUGCAGUACACUUUUAUAUAGAGAUAAUUACUAGAGAUAUGUGCUAUUACCCAUACUUCGCUCGAGACAGAAAUAAAUACGAUUGACCAUUCAAUUAAACACUACGACACCAUACUCGUGCAUGUACUAACGAUCUUAUUAUAAGUGCACCUUCCCGUGCGAUGCACAGGUCAGUAGAAUUGUAAUCGAUAUUGAUGUGAAUAUCAUCAUAUUCGAUUCGUAUUUGUGAAAAUACUCUAAUAUUUGAUUCAGCAUUCGAUUCGAUCACGAAUACUAAAUACGAUCCCAUAUUCGAUUCGAUGUUAUUUUUGAAUUAUUUGAUACAUUUUUUAAAAUUAAUUAAAUAAUUUUUUUACGAAUAUUCGAUUCGUUUUCCAUCAUAUUCAAUUCAAAACUAUUCGAUUUGAAAUUCUGAAGGAAAAAAUAUGUUAAAUAAUAUUCUAAAAAAUAUAGGAUUAUAUCCAAUAUAUUUACCUAAUAAUUAAACACACAAUAAUAAAGUGUUCAAUUCAUAUUGUUUUAUGUCCCGUGGUUUGUUUCUAGGAUUGUGGUAAUAAAGACUGAUUGGAUCAGUCUAGUACAGUUGUUGUUUGAAUUUGUAAUUUUGUGUAACGGCAUUGUCAUCUUGUUGAGAUUAAUAGGAGUUAAUUUGUUUAAUUAAUUAUUCAUGAGUUUCUUAUAAGAUACCUUCCUUCGUUCCGUAAAAAUAGUCAUAAUUUUUCAUUUUAGAACGUCCAUAAAAAAAUAGUGUUAUUCCAUUUAUAAACAAUUUAGAUCCUUACCUUUGGGAUGAGAUAAAAUGAAAUUCCAUUUUAAAUCAUAAACUAGCUAUAUAGGAAGCAUUUUCAGCUCUUGAAUUCAUCUGUUGUUCGAAUUUCAUAGGAAGCAAGUUUUUUUGACUCAUUAUUUUCACAGCGAAUUCAUCAUGUUACACAUACCCUAAAGUGAUAUAUUUACCCUAUUUGAUAACAUGAUAAGUAUAUUUGAAGCGCUCACUAUUUUAUUUGAACUUUAUUAUCGAGUUUAAACGAGUUUUGAAAUAUUGAAUUAAAUUGAAAUAUCCAUGUUGAUCGUUUAAGAAGCAAAUUUUUGGCAUGGGUUUAUAAAAAAUACAUCCUAGCCUCCAUCCCUAAUAAGUGCGGUGUGAAGGAGUGGGCAAUAGUUCUUUAAAAAUAAUUGAGAGAUGUGUAUAAAGUGGAUAAAAUGGCUUACUAGAGCUGAUUUGUUAGGCCUUACUUUCUCUCUGCCCCACUAAAAUAAGCUCAAUUCUUUUGAGAACAUAGAUUAAUAAACUUUCUUUUGAGAAGAAAAUUAAAGUGGUGGCAAAAGUAAUGUGGUCCAUACCAAUUAAGCAAUUUGAGUACAUUUUUUUUUUCACUCAAAAGGAAAACGAGCCUAUUCUAGCGGGACAUUCCAAAAUAGAAAACGAGCAUAUUCUGCUGGGACGAGGGAAUAAUAAAUUGUUUGUGAGAUGAGUAGUUUGUAAAUAUUGUGUGUGAAAGGUGUAUGUCUUAAAUUGAAAAGACCAUACCUGUAUUGUGAUUGUACGGAAAGGUGGAACUGAGCAUCGCGGCGGCGGCGAGGCAGGAGGCGGCGGUGGUGAGGAGAAUCGAGAGAGAGAGAGAAAGAUGCCAGCAGACAGUGACGGAGGGCAGUGGGCGGCCCUUGGCGGCAGCGGAGACGACAAGGUACUGGCUGUGCCAGAAUUAUUUAGUUGCAUAGGAUCCUUCCAAAUGUAAUUACUGAUUCACUGUUGGAUUAACAAGAAUUAAAUUACUUCAUAAUACAGUAUUCCAACUGUUCGAUAAAAGCCCUUAAUGAAAUCUUCCAUAGAUUACUUUGCAAAGUUCAUAAAAUUACUCAAAAGCAUUGUUGCAUAGUCCGUACAUAGAGAUGGUCGAUUAUCUUAAUUAUGUCUAGAUUUAUUUACGACACACACACACACACAUCACAAAAUCACACAUACUGACUAAUAAGGUUCCCGAAAGCCGGCAUUAUUAGGCGCCAUGGUGGCCGUGAAAUACCAUGAGACGAUAUCAUGGGUGGUGGGUCCGUCUAGUCUGGUGGCGGCGGAGAGCCCUACCUGAACCUGCUAAGGAAGAAAGCCGCUCAAAUCAUACUCAUAGCUGACUUCAAACGUCUUCGAGCCGGCGGUGGCACGGACGGCGAUCUACUUUGUGGAGGCGGCGUAGUUGAUCCUCGCCGUCACCUGCUGCUCGAGUAUGGAGCCGUCGACCUCCGUCGUGUUUCGGGAUGACCUAGACCCGAUGUCGAUGCCGAUGUGGGGAUAGUUCGGAUCCCACGCGCUGUUGACGUAGGUGUCGAACUCGACGGCAAAUACCGAGGGGUUGCUGCCGGAGGAGCCGAAGAUUCCGAGGUUGGCCCCGCUGGAGCCGGUGGGGAUGGUGGAGCGGCGAGAUUGGUGAUGCUGGGUGUGGUGAUGAAGUUUACGGUGGUUUCAAAGUCGACUUGGCCACCGGCUUGGGAGAAUUGGACCGGGUUCGUGUACAAGACCCGGCCGACACUACCGAUCUGCGGUCGCCUUGGUAGGUGAGGUCGGUCGGCUGGUUGUCCCAGAAGUUAUAGGCGAAGGCCGUUGAUCGGGACUUCGCCCUGUUGGUGGCGACGGCGAGAAGAAGGGCGAUGGAGAUUAGGGUUUGGAGAAGGUUGGCCAUGGCUUAGUUGUGCAGUGAAUGAUGUCUACUACUUGCUCCUAUUUAUAAUGAUCGAAAAUAUCUACUACUUACCUACCACAGAUCCACAUCAGGGGCCCUGGAUGGGGUGGUCGACUACAUAAGCCCAAAAAAAUAAGGGCUCGGAAAAUAUAUAGAUCCAUGUAAGUAUUAUAUAUAUGUAUAAAAUAAUUAAAAGCCAACUAAUGAUUGAAUUGAUUAACUUGGCGCAGUGGAAAAAGGACAUUUUUAAUUCCUCUUAAUUACCAAUAUUUUAUUUAGUGACCAAUUUUUUUGUUUAGAUAUAGGGCCCAGCCCCUAUUUUGAUAAAUUAAGUGUAUGUAUUUCAAAUUAACAUUAUUUUAAGUUGUCGAAUUUUUUUGUUAAGAUUUAGGGUCCAGCCCCUAUUUUGUUAAAUUAACUUUAUUUUAAGUGAAUGACAUAAUUAUUAAUAUAUUUAUUAAUUAUUAUGUAAUUUGAUAAAAAAAUGUUUUAAAUAAUUUUAGUUUAUAAUUAAUUUAUUUCUCAAUUAUAAAUAAAUGGCCUAAAUUAAAAAAUUCGCAAAGGGCCUAUGUUCUCUUAGCCCUACCCUUGCACUGUUGCACAUGGUAUAUAUAUCUAUUCUAUGAAUAUAAGUGAUUAUUUUAUAAACCACGUGAAAGCACUUGUUCCCACUAGCACUAUAAAAGCAAUAAAUACAACGGAAAGAAAAUAAAUUACAAUUGAAUACAUUAGGAGAAAAAUUACUUCUAACCUAUGGAAUUACUAACAACGAUACUUAUACCAAAGCUAAAUUGGACCAACUAACUGUACACUCUUGUAUUAUAUCAACCUACCAGACCUUAGUAUUCACGAGUCUCCCACAGUCUAGACUGAUUCACAAUAUAUACCAACAUUGGAACAAGUUCAGUAAUACACUCUAUUUAUAUAUAUUAUUAUAUACACAAAAAUGCAUGGCUGCUGUGGUAUUACGGAAGGAUCGAGAAUUACUCGAUCCUUGGGAAAAGGUUCAAAUGAAACCUUUAUUAUUACUCUCCGUCCCCCAAAUAAUAUCAUAUCCGAUUUGGGAUAUUACCCCACCACUAAUAAUACUUUAUUUAUUCUAACUUCUCAAUCUUUCACCAUUCUCAAUACUAAUUAUAACACAUUUUCAUCACUUUCAAUACUAAUUAUAAUUUCUUUUCUCCACUGCUAAUACGUACACUUAACAAUUUUUCCUUAAAACCAGUGUCGUCCCCUACUAAGAAGUUAUUUGGGGGACGUAGGGAGUAUUUUUUAAUGAUAUGGCAUCCAAAUAUGUUGUGACAAUCCAGUGAGCAAUAUCAACUUUUUGGAGCUGAAAACCGAUGUGAGGUACAACUAAUACACAAUAUGUUGUGGCAAUCCAGUAAUAUACCCUAAGGAUGCGUCAUCUUUUGUUGUAAAUUUAUCAUGGAAAAAUGAGGGAUAAACAAAAUUUCACCCAUUAAAUCCUUCAUUUUUUCCCUCAUUUCUUACAAAAUAGAAUUUGACCCUUACUCAUUUCUCAUUUUCACUGCAAAGGGGGGCUAAUAUUAUCUCUCUAUUUUUGGUAUAAUGAAGAAUUUGAUACGUAAUUACAAUUAAUUAUAAUGAAGUGUGUAUUUUAGUUGCUCAUAUUCUUGGAUUAUUUAUGCUUUAAUGAAACGAUCCACUGCCUUUAACAUUUUGGCAUUUUAAAGUAAACGCCGAAAUGCAACGAUCCACUGCCUUUUAAGUAAACACCCUUGCUAACCCCUGCAUGCGUUUUUUCAUCAAACACUUGGGUUCAUUCUUUUAGGCAUUUUAUCAAACAGUUGUGCUCAGCCUCAUCCUUUUGAUCACAUUCCCAUAUCUCUCCUUAUAUGAAACCGCAUUUUCUAUUUCUCAUAUAUUUCCUAUAUAAUAUUUCCAUCAUUUCUAGCUCAACAAUAAUUCUUCUAGCAAAAUUAUCAUUUCAAAUGCACUCUUUUCCUUUUCUACUUUCUCUUCUGCAUAACAGAAAUACUAAUCCACCAUAAAAUAAUCAUAACUUUUUCUUAAUGAUACGAUGAGGGCACAAAGUUGAGAUGAUAAAAUCAUACAUAUUGGCGAAUGUUGCCGCCGGCUUCCUCUGACUUUUGGAUGCUGAGGGGAGGGGUGGCGGUGAAAUACCAGGAGUUGAUGAUGAAUUUGAUGGUUGUUUCCAUGUCCACCUGCCGCAGAGACCGAGAUACGAUUUUAGAAACAAACGGCAAAAUUACAAUUUCACAUAUAAAAAAUAAAAGACAAUUAAUAAAGCGCAUAAUAUUGGUAAGAUGCUUCCAACCAAUAGGUCGGGAUUGUAUAUCGUGUGAGUGUGUUUUUCAUUUUUUAGUAAUAACAUGUCGUGCUCGGGGCUUUUUUCCGUAUCUGCCCCUGCUUCCCGUCGUCGUGCCCGACUCGUCGGUUUUUGUCAUGCGGAGGUAGGUGGUGGCGUCGGUGAAGUUGGCGUCGCCUUCCAAGCGUAGGCCUUCCGAAUGUGGCGGCUUUUGGUAGAAGUCGUAGGUGAAGGAGACUGCAUCGCCGACCGACACGGUGGCGAGGAGGAGGGCGAUGGAGGAGAGGAGAGGAAUUAAGGUUUGGAGAAGGUUGGCCAAUUUGAUUAAAUGUAUUUGGAUGUAGUGGAUGAUGGUGUAUCGAUCUCUUGCUCCUAUUUAUAGUUGUAAAUAUAUAUUAAUAAUGGUAUCAUUCAAUCAUUAUACUUUAGGCCGGCCGGGCCGGAUCCUCUAUUCCAAAUUCUAUGUCUCAUUGUUCAUAUUCACUAUUAAUUUCACUAUUUCAAUAAUUAAAAAAAUUCAUAGAGUUUGGGGCAGAGGAUCCCGUUUGAAUCCCACAUGGAUCCUCUGUCCCAUAACUUAUUGUGUUCCUUCCCAUUAUUAAUCUCGAUAUUAUAUUUCUACUUUGGAGUUAAUUCAUUAUAAACCCAUGAAAGAUCAGACGAAAUUCAUCCAAUAAACAUUUAUAAAUUUAUAUUUAAAUUUUGUUUCGCGGGUAUCUGAUAGAUAAUAGGUAUUCGUGGGUGGCGAAUUUGGGUAGCAUUUGAUAUUCAUAGAUAGUUUCAUGAUUAAAAUCCAAUAUUCAUUUAGUUCACGGGUAUGGUAUGACAGCCACUAUCUGUGUACGUCAUACCUGAUUGCCAGUAUGACAAAUAUAAAAGUUGUGAGAUGCACAGCAGCUUAAUUAUUCAAAUAGAAAUAUCAUCACAUGUGCAUUGAUAUUUCACAAAAUAAAUACUACUACUAAUAAAUACUCCCUCCGUCCACCAAAGAUAUGCCACUUUACUUUCGGUACGAGUUUUAAUAAAAUGUGAGUGAAGUUGGUAGUGGAGUAAGGGUCCCACUUUAAAUGUGAGUGGAAUGGUAUGGACCUUACUACUAAAAAUGGAUGUGGCAUAUUUUUCGUGGACGAACGAGAAAGAAAAUUGUGGCAUAUCUUUGGUGGACGGAGGGAGUAGUACUCAUUGAUAAUGCAUGCCAACACAUGGUUCUUGCAAGUCAUAUAUAUACCUCAUCAGCAAUAUAGUAAAAUGAUGAUUUGACAACCAGAUUAAGACACCAAUUAUUCUUGUCGGGACACAGACAUAUAUGCAUAUAGAAUUAAUAUUAUUUACUAUUUCGUUUAUACACGUGAAUUAUGCUUUGGAUGCAACAUCGCCACGUCUCUUUCAUUUAUACUUCUCUAGUGUAUUGCGGACAAAAUAGUUAGUGUCUUUAAGAAAUUAAAAAUUUUCAAAUACAUAAGAAAGAAUAAUUAAUCUAAUUGGUGCGCCGGCAACUAAAACUUUUUUCAAUUCACUUUAUAUUUUAUAUACUCCCUCCGUCCACGAUUUAAUGCCCCAUUUUAGUGUGGGCACGGAGACUAAGAAAACUGAAAAAGGUGAUGUGAAUGAAAUAUAAGGGUAGUUGACUAAAGUGAUAAAGAUGCUGUGAGUGGGUUCACUAGUGAUAAAGUAUAGGAAAUAUAGAAUAUAAAAAUGAUAAAGGUGUUUUAAGUUGGGUCCAUUAGUGGCAAAGAGUAAUAAAUAUAGAAAAAGAAGAGUAAAAAAGUACAAAAAGCAUAAUAGGGCUUUAAUUUGUGGACAAAAAAUUAAGAGCAAGUAGGGCUUUAAAUUGUGGACGGAGGGAGUAUUUAACAUUACAAGUCAAUUGCUUGCAGAAUUUGAGCUUGUCUCCCGUGAUGGAGACCUCACCAUGCGGCAACCCGUGCCUGCGCCUGCCUUUUUUCUUCCCGUCUUGCUCUAUCCAGAUAUUAUACGUGAUCCAACUCUUUCCAGAUAUUAUACGUAAAUGAUAAUUUUACUAACAAAAAUUACACUUUUUAUCAAUAACAAAUGAAACUAUGCAUACAAAACAGGAGGUAAAUGAUAUUUUUCUUAAUAACAACUGAUACUUUUUCAAUGCAAAUAAUACUUCGCAAAUGAUAUUUUAAUAUAAAAGUAAAUGAUACUUUGUAUAAAAAUAAAUGUUAUAUUACAAAUGACACUUUUAAUGCAUACCAAUGACACUUUUAAUAACAAAAAUUGAGAAAAAAAAAUUAGAAUUCGGCCUUAAUUAAAAUUUGGACAACAUUUAUUUGGGCAAAGAAGAAAAACACCUGAAUUUUUUUUUUUCCUUUUUUGAGAGAGAAAAACUCAUGAAAUUUCAUGCAAAAGGUAAUGCAUAGCCAACCGGGCUCAAUCAUCUUUCGGCGGUUUUGGUUUGAUUCUUCCAACAUCUAGGGUAGCAUUCACACAAAAUCAACUCGUGUUCAAAAAUCUGAAAUUAAAAUUAACGAUGUGUCUCAGUAUAGAGAUAAGAACAUACCCCUCAAAUGGUUCGAGCCAAGGUCUAAUUCCUUCAGCAGUGUGAUAUUCCAAAUUUGAGUAGGCAUAUAUCCGCCAAAGUUGUUGUCUGACAAGCGAAUACUCUCAAGUUGUGGACAUUGGUACAAACUCGAUGGUAUAUCUCCUUCCAAAUUGUUAAAGGAUAGGUUCACUAGUUUAAGUCUUUGAAGGUUAUUGUACGUGCNUAGACAACAAGAAAUAUCUAUUGUCUAUUCUAUGACAAAAAAAUUAAAAAAUUCUAAUAUAUCUGCAUCCCUGUAUUACAAUACCAAUAUAUAUGAAAAAAUAAAAAUAAUUAAAAAUCAAAUAAUCAAACAAUACUUAUAAACCACUAAUACUCACAAUCAAAUAUUUACACAUCAGUGUAAAUAUUGGGUUCGAGUCCUCUGCGUGUGUUGAUCAAGCGGUAAGGGGUUAAUGCCUAAGGUCAAAGGUCUGGGAUUCGAGUCCCCUGUGGUGUAGCCUUUUAAUUUCGUUAUUUAAUAUUGUAAAUUUAUAAAAAAAAAAAAGUAUAUUUACACAUCAACAAUUGUAUUAUCUUUAAUACGCCUUCAUUCAUCUAAUAAAAAAAAUCUCUAAUAAAAUCUCCAACUAACUCCGGUCAUGAUCAUCUCUUGAAGGCGGAGGAAGGUGGAGUCCGUCGGGAAAUGGGUACUGCCUUGAUAGAUGAGAUCUUUCGGCUGGUCGCCCCAGAAGUCGUAGGUGAAGGACGUCGUUUGGGACAACGCCGUGUUGGAAACGGAGAGGAGGAGGACGAUGGAGGAGAGGAGAGGAGUUAAGGUUUGAAGAAGCUGGUUGGCCAUGGCUUAAUUGAUUUAGAUUUAGAGAUGUGGUGGAUGAUGGUGGUAUCGAUCUCUUGCACCUAUUUAUACUAGUAUGGUUCAUGCCUGUUAAUAAUUGUAUAUAUCAAUCAUCGUGCAUCUAUCCCAAAUUAUAUGUCUUAUUAUUCACUAAUUAGAUGGAUUAAAUCCUGAUUAGUAACCAUAAAAUUAAACUGUCAAUGAGGCCUUGCUCUAGUGGCAAAGCUGUGACACCGAAUAACUUUUCUUUGUGAAAUGUCUUGGGUUCAAUCUCGCCUGCAUGCGGUGAUGUGUGUCCAUUUUAGGUGGUGUGGUAUUCUUGUCUGCGUGCGGUGUUGUAUUGUUUAGUGUUGAGGUCCCACAUGCAGAGCGUUCUUGCCUGUGUACGUGUCACAGCCCAAAACCAUUUAUUUUCUUUACAAAUUUUAUAUAUGAAAAUUAUUUAAUUUUUAAGUUAUAGAGUUUUUGAAAUAUAUAUAGUAUCAAUUUUAUGUUAACUUAGUCGUGUCCCUAAUUAAAAGAAUGACUUUAAAAUAAAACUUAAGCCUUAAAAAUUUAAUCUACAUUCAUAUAUAACUGAAAUUACAUGCAUGUCUAAAUAUUAUUUAUAAUUAUCAAUAACAAGAUUAAUGAUUCUAUAUCUCUAUGUUUAUACAUGUAUUCACGUAUGACAUAGUAUAUAUUAGCUAUUAAGUUAAAAACUAAUAAAAUACUACACUUUUGCAUAGGAUAUAUAUUUAAUUAGUAGUAGGAUAGGACACGUGUAUUAAUUUUAAGGGCAAGUAAUCAAACUUUUGAAUGAUUCAUCAUGCUUAAAAAAAAAAGAGACCUAGAUAGAUGAUUCAUCAGAUUCAAAAACAAGUAUAAAUAGACUUCGGGUUUGAAAUUUUAAUUAAUUUGCAACAACAAUUCAAACUGACUGUAUUAAGGUAAGUAGUUACAGAUUUCAUACACAUAUUAUAUGAUUUCGCACACAUAUUAAGGUAAGUAUAUAUAAAUAUUUUUUAAAAUCAUAUAUUAUAUAAUAAUUAUAUUUAAGUUUUAUAUUAUUCUUUAUAAACUAUUGUUUCAUUCUAUAUAAUUAGGUGUGGCACGACUAGGACGUAACUUUCUAUUGAAUUUCUCAAGUUAAUCUUAGAGUUCAAGUUUCAGGUGUGAGAUUUAUUUAAAUACAUGUCGUACGUGGUUAUUUAUUGUCCAUUUUAAUAAGAUGUGUUUACCAUAUGUGUUAUGACGCAUAUUUUUAGGAUAUCACUAGGUGCCCAUAAAUAGGAUCCAGGACUUCACCGUCCUUGGAUUGCCACAAUGCGAUUUGAGGUUUAUUUUGAGGAUGUCGUUAGGGGCCCGUACAUAGGGUCCAGGACUUUAAUAGUCAUUGGGUUGCCAUAGUGCAAAUAUUGAGGAUAUAUAUGAAGUGACCGUAUGUGUUACCGUUUCAUUAACGUGGACAAUGAUUGCAUGUUUAAGAGACAAUAACCAAUUUUUCAGACAUUUGUGAACAAAAUGAAGCAUGUUUAGAGAUCCUUAAUACAGGUGUACGAAAUGAUGGAUAAAUAAGUUUGUGAAACAAAUUUCACCAUACCUAACCCCACAAUUAUUUGCGGUCGAAUUUCCUCGUCACAGGAAAAAGAGAUGAUGACAAAAGGGAAAAAAUUAAUUAACAAAGUAGAAGAUGCAUGACAACUGUAAAAGAAAAAUAAUGCUACUAAUUAAAUAGUCCAAACUUCAUACGUUUCAUAUCAUAAGUGGCAGUUCUAUUUUUUUUUUUGCGAAUGUGAACAAAAUAACGAAUAAUUUUUAAAGUAAUAGUAAUAAGGAGAUGUGUUUUGACAGAAAACGACAUGAGCGGCCUAAAAAUAAGAGGGAAAAAGAUAAUCAUAUAAAUAUUCAAAAUCAAACGGAUUGGCAUGUAUUCAUCAUUUUUUAUUUUUUAUUUUGAUAAUUUAACAGUACUCCCUCCGUCCGUCAAAAGUAGACCACUUUGGUUGGGCACGGGAUUUAAUAAAAUUAGUGAUGAUUUUGAUGUAGUAGAGAAAGAGUUCCACCACUUUAUGAGAUGUGUGGUUGAGAUUGAAUUUGUUGUGAUUUUUUUGUAAAUAAAGAGUGUUUGUAAGGAUAAAAGAUUAAAGUGGGUGGUGGGACCAUUUCCAUAAAAGGAAAGUGGUCUACUAUUUGCGGACGCCCAAUAUAGUAAAAGUAGUCUACUUUUGGCGGACGGGGAGAGUAUUAAAUAAAUAAAUUUAAAGGUUGCACCCCUUACUGCUUGGCUUUUAGAUUAUGUUAUAAUAAUAAAAUUAACAGCACGUUUACAAUAUAAAAUUAAUUAUGAUAAAUACAAUAUAUUAAUAAUAAAUACUCAAUUACCUCUUAACAUAAUUCGCGCAUCAUGGCUUUUAGCUUAUAUUAUAAAGAUAUAAUAUGUUGUCUAUAAUAAUCGACGGAAGGUAAUAGACAACAUGUUUUAUAUGUUGUCUAUAAUAAUAUAGACAGUAGAUCUAGUGUUAUAGAUAACAAUUAAUACUUGUUGUCUAUAUGAUGAUAGACACCAAAAAUCUCUGUUGUCUAUUCUAUGACAAAAAAAUUUAAAAAAAUUCUAAUAUAUUUACAUCCCUGUAUUACAAUACCAAUAUAUAUGAAAAAAUAAAAAUAAUUAAAAAUCAAAUAAUCAAACAAUACUUAUAAACCACUAAUACUCACAAUCAAAUAUUUACACAUCAACAACUGUAUUAUCUUUAAUUACGCCUUCAUUUAUCUAUUAAAAAAAAUCUCUAAUAAAAUCUCUAACUAACUCCGGUCAUCAUCUCUUGAAGGCUUAGAAAAUGUCCAAAUACAGCGGCACAUGCUCAUUAUUGUGUGAGCGAUGAGAACUUUGCGCUGAACCUAUAAAGUAACUAUACUUAACUGGUAAAGUAAUUGUAUCCCGUGAAUCUAAAGGAAGACUACACACGUUGAUAGAGUUUGAAAGAAAAGAAUAAAGAGAAUGAAAAUCCAAAGAAUUUGCUUCUUCCGUUGAACAAUCCCUACACAACAUUGAAAUAUCAAUGAAAAUAAUGGCUAUCGUAUACUCCCUCCAUCCAUGAAAGAACUUCAUAGGAGGGAGUGACACGGGUUUUAAGAAAAAAUAUUGUUAAGUGUAUUGAGAGUGGAUAAAAGGUAGUUGAGUGUAUUGGGAGUGGUGAAAAUGUGUUAUAGUUAAUAUUGAGAGUUGUGAAAAGUGAAAAGUAAGAGGAUUAUAAGUGGUGGGGUAUAGUCCAAAAAUAGGUAGGAAGUUCUUUUGUGGACGUCCCAAAAAGGAAAGAUAUGAAGUUCUUUCGUGGACGGAGGGAGUAUUAUUUUGCAGCAGCAACCACGUUUGAAAACUCGAUCCCUCUGUUCUUGAAUUUGUGAAAUUUCCGACUGAUUUAUUAGAUUCACCAUUUAUUUCAGUUUAAUUAGUCUAUAUAUAGAUAUUUCUUAUAUUAUUAAAUUGUUAACCUCAUGGUAGAUUUCAAGAUUUGAAAAUUCAACAAAGAGCUUGAGAAUUAUUGAGAUUGGAAGGGGAAGAUGAAACAUAAUUGGGUGAAAUUAGAAACCAAUUAAAGUCACAAGAUUGAACAAAAACAUAACUUAAAAACACAAAAUAAGCAAAUCGUAGAUGCAGUAUCUUGCAAGAAAAAGUUCAUAUUCCCAAGGCUAUGAUGAGCACGAAUUAGGGUGUGUCUGCAUUUUAUCCCUCUAAAUAGAGGAAUAACAAAAUUUUAUUCUUUAAAUGUUUGCUUUCUUAUCACACAUUCUACACAAACACCAUUUUUUCUUCCUUAUUUUCACUUCAAGGAGGANUAAUAUUAUCCCUCCAAUUUUGGUGUGAUAAUAUUAUCUCUUCUUGAAGUGAAAAUAAGGAAGAAAAAAUGGUAUUUGUGUAGGAUGUGGGAUAAGAAAGCAAACAUUUAAAGGUAUAAAUUUUUGUUAUUCCUCAUUUAGAGGAAUAAAAAGCAAACACACAUUAGAGUCUACUUACAAUUUAGGCGCAGGCUGUGCGAGAAUUACUUAGUCGAAUAGGAUCCUAAGUAUUUAUAUUUCUCAUGUUCUUGUGUAUUUUUUUACUGAUUCACUAUUGGAUUAACAAGAAUUAUCUUACUUUAAAUUUCUUGCUUUAAAAAAAAAAAAGAAUUAUCUUACUUCAUGUAUGGUAUGCCAACUGUUCGAUAAAGGUCCUUUUAGAAAUCUUCUAUUGAUUACCUUGCGAAGACCACAAAACUAGACACACCCAAAAGCAUUCUUGCAUAGUUUAUACAUAGAGAUGGCCGAUUGAUGAUCGUCUUAUUUGUAGACUUAACGCGAGCAGACUCGAUCGCUUAGUCCUUAUUGAUUUACGACACACAUGCUCACACACACACAUACACACAUCACAAAAUCACACAAAUUGACGGAUAAUGUUGCCGUUCAGCUCCUUCCUGAACCUCACCGCGGCAUUUUUCUGCACCAUAGUGGCCGUGAAAUACCACGAGACGAUGUCAUGGACGGCGACGUGUUGUCCGGUGGCGGCGGAUAGCCCGACCUGAACCUGCUGAGGAACAAAGUCGCUCAAAUCGUACUCAUAGUUGACAUCAAAUGUCUGCGAGCCGGCGGUGACUUUCACGGAGAUCAUCCUUGUGGCUCCGACGUAGUUGAUCCGCGCAGUCACCUGCUGCCCGAGUAUGGAGUUGUCGACCUUCGUCGUGUUGCUGGAUGCCCUAGAGCCGAAGUCGAUGCCGAUGUGGGGAUAGAGCGGAUCCCACGCGCCGUUGACGUAGGUGUCGAUUUCGACGGCGAAGACCGAGGGGCUGUUGCCGUUGGAGCCAAAGAUUCCGAGGUUGGCUCCGUUGGAGCCAGGGGGGAUGGUGGAACCGACGGGGGCAAUGAAGAAGGCGAGGCCGUCGGCAGGCUCGUUGUCGGCGCCCGGGGUGAUGAUGAAGUUCACAGUGGUUUCGAAGUCGACCUGCCCACCGGACUGCGAGAAUUGGACCGGGUUCGAGUGCAAGACGCGGCCGACUUGUGAGGGCUGUGCGUCUGUGAGGCGGAGGAAGGUGGAGUCCGUCGGGAAAUGGGCGCUGCCUUGAUAGAUGAGAUCUUUCGGCUGGUCGCCCCAGAAGUCGUAGGUGAAGGACGUCGUUUGGGACAACGCCGUGUUGGAAACGGCGAGGAGGAGGGCGAUGGAGGCGAGGAGAGGAGUUAAGGUUUGAACAAGCUGGUUGGCCAUGGCUUAAUUGAUUUAGAUUUAGAUUUAGAGAUGUGGUGGAUGAUGGUGGCCAGGUAUCGAUCUCUUGCACCUAUUUAUACUAGUAUGGUUCAUGCCUGUUAAUAAUUGUAUAUAUCAAUCAAUCAUCGUGCAUCUAUCCCAAAUUAUAUGUCUUAUUAUUCACUAAUUAGAUGGAAUAAAUCCUAAUUAGCAAUCUUAAAAUUACACCGCCAAUGAGGCCUUGCUCUAGUGGUAAAGCUGUGGCACCGAAUAACUUUUCUUUGUGAAAGGUCUUGGGUUCAAUCUCGCCUGCAUGCGGUGAUGUUUGUCCAUUUUAGAUGGUGUGGUAUUCUUGCCUGCGUGCGGUGUUGUAUUAUUUAGUCUUAGGCGUUCUUGCCUGUGUGCAUAUCACUGUGUGACAAUUAAAAGAAUGACUUUAAAAUAAAAGUUAAGCCUUAAAAAUUUAAUCUACAUUCAUAUAUAACUGAAAUUACAUGCAUGUCUAAUUUUUUUAAUAUCAUAACAAGAUAAGAUUUAUUAAAUAAUUCAGAUGCAUAAAUAAAAAGUUAAUCUAUAAACACAGUAUAGAUAUAUUAUCAAUGAUAGGCCGUGUAUAAGUCUUAAUCUGUAAAACUAUAUCAUCCCAGCCUUAAACGACUACCAUUCCUGCUUUCCCAGAGCAACCACACUGUUCCCACCCACAAAGCUUUAAGCAGUACAUGCAUGUCUAAAUAUUAUUUAUAAUUAUCAAUAACAAGAUUAAUGAUUCUAUAUCUCUAUGUUUAUACAUAUAUUCACGUAUGACAUAGUAUAUAUUAGCUAUUAAGUUAAAAACUAAUAAAAUACUACAGUUUUGCAUAGGAUAUAUAUUUAAUUAGUAGUAGGAUAGGACACGUGUAUUAAUUUUAAGGGCAAGUAAUCAAACUUUUGAAUGAUUCAUCAUGCUUAAAAAAAAAAAGAGACCUAGAUAGAUGAUUCAUCAGAUUCAAAAACAAGUAUAAAUAGACUUCGAGUUUGAAAUUUUAAUUAAUUUGCAACAACAAUUCAAACUGACUGUAUUAAGGUAAGUAGUUACAGAUUUCAUACACAUUAUAUGAUUUCGCGCACAUACGUAUGUAUAUAUAAAUAUUUUUUAAAAUCAUAUACUCCCUCCGUCCCCAAAAUAAGUUCCUCUUUGGGGACGGCACGGAUUUUAAGGAAAAGUGGUAAAGUGUAUUAAUAGUGGAGAAAAAUAUGUUAUAAUUAGUAUUGGAAGUUGUGAAAAGGUGAAAAAGUGUUAUAAUUAGUAUUGGGAGUGGUGAAAAAGUGAAAAGUAAGAAUAAAUAAAGUAUUAUUAGUGGUGGGGUAGUUGUCCAAAAAUGGAAAAAAAGAAAGAGGAACUUAUUUGGGGGACAUCCCAAAAUGGAAAAAGAGGAACUUAUUUCAGGGACGGAGGGAGUAUUAUAUAAUAAUUAUAUUUAAGUUUUAUAUUAUUCUUUAUAAACUAUUGUUCCAUUCUAUAUAAUUAGGUGUGGCACGACUAGGACGUAACUUUCGAUUGAAUUUCUCAAGUUAAUUUUCAAGUUCAAGUUUCAGGUGUGAGAUUUAUUUAAAUACAUGUCAUGAUUAUUCAUUGUCCAUUUUAAUAGUAUGUGUUUACCAUAUGUGUUAUGACGCAUAUUUUGAGGACAUCGCUAGGAGCCCAUAAAUAGGGUCCAGGACUUCACCGUCCUUGGAUUGCCACAAUGCGAUUUGAGGUUUAUUUUGAGGAUGUCGUCAGGGGCCCGUAAAUAGGGUCCAGGACUUUAAUAGUCAUUGGGUUGCCACAGUGCGAAUAUUGAAGAUAUAUAUGAAGUGACCGUAUGUGUUACCGUUUCAUUAACGUGGACAAUGAUUGCAUGUUUAAGAGACAAUAACCAAUUUUUCAGACAUUUGUGAACAAAAUGAAGCAUGUUUAGAGAUCCUUAAUAAAGGUGUACGAAAUGAUGGAUAAAUAAGUUUGUGAAACAAAUUUCACCAUACCUAACCCCACAAUUAUUUGCGGUCGAAUUUCCUCGUCACAGGAAAAAGAGAUGAUGACAAAAGGGCAAAAAUUAAUUAACAAAGUAGAAGAUGCAUGACAACUGUAAAAGAAAAAUAAUGCUACUAAUUAAAUAGUCCAAACUUCAUACGUUUCAUAUCAUAAGUGGCAGUUCUAUUUUUUUUUUGCGAAAGUGAACAAAAUAACGAAUAAUUUUUAAAGUAAUAGUAAUAAGGAGAUGUGUUUUGACAGAAAACGACAUGAGCGGCCUAAAAAUAAGAGGGAAAAAGAUAAUCAUAUAAAUAUGGGUUAAUUGCCUCUAAAUACACCACCUUUCCUUGAAUUCUACAAUUGCACAUCACCUUUAAAAUCCGCCCUUAAAUACACCACCUUUCCUUGAGUUCUACAAUUGCACAUCACCUUUAAAUCCGCCCCAAAAUACAUCAUCUUUAUAUUUUUUCUGUUUUUGCACAUGACUAAAAAAUUCUCAAGAAAUAAAUUAAAGUGUUAAUUUAUAAAUUUAAAUAUCUUUUUAGCAGCGAAAACAUAAUAAAAUAAAAUUCUUUAUAAAGUUUAAAAUCAUAUAUAUAUAUAUAUAUAUAUAAGUAUUUUCGUAAAGAAAUAAAUUCUCUAAUAAAUUUUUAGAAAGAACUUGAAUUAAAAAAAUAAACAAGUCAUGACAUUAAGAAAAUAAAAUGAAAUUUUUAUUUUAAUAAAUUUCACACGAAUUCGAUAUAAUUUGGAAUUUAGAGUUACAAUAAUCAGAAGUACCACAUGAAUAAUAUAAUGAGUUUGAAAGAAAUUUUUUUUAAAGAGGUUCGACACGCCCAUUCGACUUUCCACGCGCCUCCAAUGUCAUUUACCUGAAAUAUUAANUAUAUAAGUAUUUUUCGUAAAGAAAUAAAUUCUCUAAUAAAUUUUUAGAAAGAACUUGAUUAAAAAAUAAACAAGACAUGACAUUAAGAAAAUAAAAUGAAACUUUUAUUUUAAUAAAUUUCACACGAAUUCGAUAUAAUUUGGAAUUUAGAGUUACAAUAAUAAAAAGAACCACAUAAAUAAUAUAAUCAGUUUGAAAGAAAUAUAUAUAUAUUUUUUUAAAGAGGUUCGACGCGCCCAUUCGACUCUCCACGCGCUACCAAUGUCAUUACCUGAAAUACUAAAUAUGGGAUAAGCAUACAUAAUAUACUUAGUGUGGGAACAUGCAAUUAUUGUCCACGUUAAUAAAAUAGUAACACAUACGAUCAUAACAUUCAAAACGACACAAUUUUGCCAAUAUGGAAGCCACGUCAUUUAAAGUGGUAACACCCUAAUCUAACUAAAGUGUUAAAUAUAAAUUUAAAGCGGAAAUAUAAUAAAAUAAAGUUCUUUAUAAAAAUAAAUAAAGAAUUUUAUUUUAUUAUAUUUCCGCUGCUAAAAAAGAUAUUUAAAAUUUAUAAAUUAACACUUUAAUUUAUUUCUUGAGGAUUUUUAAGUCAUGUGCAAAAACAGAAAAAAAAUAUAAAGGUGAUGUAUUUUGGGGCGGAUUUAGAAUUCAAGGAAAUGUGGUGUAUUUAGGGGCGGAUUUUAAAGGUGAUGUGCAAUUGUAGAAUUCAAGGAAAGGUGGUGUAUUUAGGGGAAAUUAACCCUAUAAAUAUUCAAAAUCAAACGGAUUGGCAUGUAUUCAUCAUUUUUUAUUUUUUAUUUUGAUAAUUUAACAGUAUUAAAUAAAGAAAUUUAUAGGCUGCGUCCCUUACUGCUUGGCUUUUAGAUUAUGUUGUAAUAAUAAAAUUAAAAGCACGUUUACAAUAUAAAAUUAAUUAUGAUAAAUACAAUAUAUUAAUAAUAAAUACUCAAUUACCUCUUAACAUAAUUCGCGCAUCAUGGCUUUUAGCUUAUAUUAUAAAGAUAUAAUAUGUUGUCUAUAAUAAUCGACGGAAGGUAAUAGACAACAUGUUUUACUUCUUGUCUAUAAUAAUAUAGACAGUAGAUCUAGUGUUAUAGAUAACAAUUAAUACGUGUUGUCUAUAUGAUGAUAGACACCAAAAAUCUCUGUUGUCUAUUCUAUGACAAAAAAAUUUAAAAAAAUUCUAAUAUAUUUACAUCCCUGUAUUACAAUACCAAUAUAUAUGAAAAAAUAAAAAUAAUUAAAAAUCAAAUAAUCAAACAAUACUUAUAAACCACUAAUACUCACAAUCAAAUAUUUACACAUCAACAAUUGUAUUAUCUUUAAUUACGCCUUCAUUUAUCUACUAAAAAAAAUCUCUAAUAAAAUCUCUAACUAACUCCGGUCAUCAUCUCUUGAAGGCUUAGAAAAUGUCCAAAUACAGCGGCACAUGCUCAUUAUUGUGUGAGCGAUGAGAACUUUGCGCUGAACCUAUAAAGUAACUAUACUUAACUGGUAAAGUAAUUGUAUCCCGUGAAUCUAAAGGAAGAAUAAACACGUUGAUAGAGUUUGAAAGAAAAGAAUAAAGAGAAUGAAAAUCCAAAGAAUUUGCUUCUUCCGUUGAACAAUCCCUACACAACGUUGAAAUAUCAAUGAAAACAAUGGCUAUCCUAUACUCCCUCCAUCCAUGAAAGAACUUCCUAGGAGGGAGUGACACGGGUUUUAAGAAAAAAUAUUGUUAAGUGUAUUGAGAGUGGAUAAAAGGUAGUUGAGUGUAUUGGGAGUGGUGAAAAUGUGUUAUAGUUAAUAUUGAGAGUUGUGAAAAGUGAAAAGUAAGAGGAUUAUAAGUGGUGGGGUAUAGUCCAAAAAUAGGUAGGAAGUUCUUUUGUGGACGUCCCAAAAAGGAAAGAUAUGAAGUUCUUUCGUGGACGGAGGGAGUAUUAUUUUGCAGCAGCAACCACGUUUAAAAACUCGAUCCCUCUAUUCUUGAAUUUGUGAAAUUUCCGACUGAUUUAUUAGAUUCACCAUUUAUUUCAGUUUAAUUAGUCUAUAUAUAGAUAUUUCUUAUAUUAUUAAAUUGUUAACCUCAUGGUAGAUUUCAAGAUUUGAAAAUUCAACAAAGAGCUUGAGAAUUAUAGAGAUUGGAAGGGGAAGAUGAAACAUAGUUGGGUGAAAUUAGAAACCAAUUAAAGUCAGGAGAUUGAAGAAAAACAUAACUUAAAAACACAAAAUAAGCAAAUCGUAGAUGCAGUAUCUUGCAAGAAAAAGUUCAUAUUCCCAAGGCUAUGAUGAGCACGAAUUAGGGUGUGUCUGCAUUUUAUCCCUCUAAAUGGAGGAAUAAUAAAAUUUUAUGCCUUUAAAUGUUUGCUUUCUUAUCACACAUUCUAAACAAACACCAUUUUUUCUUCCUUAUUUUCACUUCAAUGAGGGAUAAUAUUAUCCCUCCAAUUUUGGUGUGAUAAUAUUAUCCCUCCUACAAGUGAAAAUAAGGAAGAAAAAAUGGUACUCCCUUCGUCCCAAACGAAAUGUCCUGUUUUCCUUUUUGGGCUGUCCCAAACGAAAUGUCCUGUUUCCUUUUUUGGCAAUACACUCUCUCUCUAUACUUAAUAUUUAAAUAAUUUUCACCAACCCACUUUAUCUACUUUAUACACAUUUCUUAAUCUCCGUGCCGAAAAGAAAUGGGACAUUUCGUUUGGGACGGAGGGAGUAUUUGUGUAGGAUGUGGGAUAAGAAAACAAACAUUUAAAGACAUAAAUUUUUGUUAUUCCUCCAUUUAGAGGGAUAAAAAGCAAACACACCUUAGAGUCUAAUUACAAUUUAGGCGCAGGCUGUGUGAGAAUUACUUAGUCGAAUAGGAUCCUUAGUAUUUAUAUUUCUCAUGUUCUUGUGUAUUUUUUCACUGAUUCACUAUUGGAUUAACAAGAAUUAUCUUACUUUAAAAAAAAAAAAGAAAUGAUCUUACUUCAUGUAUGGUAUGCCAACUGUUCGAUAAAGGUCCUUUUAGAAAUAUUCCAUAGAUUACCUUGCAAAGACCACAAAACUAGACACACCCUGCAUAGUUUAUACAUAGGGAUGGCCGAUUGAUGAUCGUCUUAUUUGUAGACUUAACGAGAGCAGACUCGAUCGCUUAGUCCUUACUGAUUUACGACACACAUGCACACAUACACAGAUACACACAUCACAAAAUCACGCAAAUUGACGGAUAAUGUUGCCGGCCAGCUCCUUCCUGCUCCACGCCACGGCAUUUUUCUGCACCAUGGUGGCCGUGAAAUACCACGAGACGAUGUCAUGGGUGGCGACGUGUUGUCCGGUGGCGGCGGAUAGCCCGACCUGAACCUCCUGAGCAACAAAGUAGCUCAAAUCGUACUCAUAGCUGACAUCAAACGUCUGAUUGCCGGCGGUGACUUUGACGGAGAUCAUCCUUGUGGCUCCGACGUAGUUGAUCCGCGCAGUUACCUGCUGCUUGAGUAUGGAGCUGUCGACCGGCGUCGUCUUGCUGGAUACCCUAGAGCCGAAGUCGAUGCCGAUGUGGGGAUAGAGCGGAUCCCACGCGCCGUUGACGUAGGUGUCGAUUUCAACGGCGAAGACCCCGGGGCUGUUGCCGUUGGAGCCAAAGAUUCCGAGAUUGGCUCCGUCGGAGCCAGGGGGGAUGGUGGAGUCGACGGGGGCAAUGAAGAAGGCGAGGCCGUCGGCAGGCUCGUUGUCGGCGCCGGGGGUGAUGAUGAAGUUCACGGUGGUUUCGAAGUCGACCUGCCCAUUGGACAUCCAGAAUUGGACCGGUUCCGAGUACAUGACGCGGCCGACUUGGGACGGUUGUGCGUCUGUGAGGCGGAGGAAGGUGGAGUCCGUCGGGAAAUGGGCGUUGCCUUGAUAGAUGAGAUCUUUCGGCUGGUCGCCCCAGAAGUCGAAGGUGAACGACGUCGUUUGGGACAACGCCGUGUUGGAAACGGCGAGGAGGAGGGCGAUGGAGGCGAGGAGAGGAGUUAAGUUGGCCAUGGCUUAAUAGAUUUAGAUUUAGAGAUGUGGUGGAUGAUGGUGGUAUCGAUCUGUUGCACCUAUUUAUACUAGUAUGGUUCAUGCCUGAUAAUAAUUGUAUCAAUCAAUCAUCGUGCAUCUAUCCCAAAUUAUAUGUCUUAUUAUUCACUAAUUAGAUGGAAUAAAUCCUAAUUUGCAAUCUUAAAAUUAAACCGCCAAUGAGGCCUUGCUCUAGUAGCAAAGCUGUGGCACCCAAUAACUUUUCUUUGUGAAAGGUCUUGGGUUCAAUCUCGCCUGCAUGCGGUGAUGUUUGCCCACUUUAGGUGGUGUGGUAUUCUCGCCUGCGUGCGGUGUUAUAUUGUUUAGUGUUAAGGUCCCACAUGCAGGGCGUUCUUGCAUGUGUGCGUGUCACAACCCAAAACCAUUUAUUUUCUUUACAAAUUUUAUAUGAAAAUUAUUUGAUUUUUAAGUUAUAGAGUUUUCGAUAUAUAUACAUAUAGUGUCAAUUUUAUGUUAACUUAGUCGUGUCCCUAAUUAAAAGAAUGAAUUUGAAAUAAAAGUUAAGCCUUAAAAAUUUAAUCUACAUUCAUAUAUAACUGAAAUUACAUGCAUGUCUAAAUAUUAUUUAUAAUUAUCAAUAACGGGAUUAAUGAUUCUAUAUCUCUAUGUUUAUACAUAUAUUCACGUAUGACAUAGUAUAUAUUAGCUAUUAAGUUAAAUAAAAUACUACAGUUUUGCAUAGGAUAUAUAUUUAAUUAGUAGUAGGAUAGGACACGUGUAUUAAUUUUAAGGGCAAGUAAUCAAACUUUUGAAUGAUUCAUCAUGCUUAAAAAAAAGAGACCUAGAUAGAUGAUUCAUCAGAUUCAAAAACAAGUAUAAAUAGACUUCGAGUUUGAAAUUUUAAUUAAUUUGCAACAACCAUUCAAACUGACUGUAUUAAGGUAAGUAGUUACAGAUUUCAUACACAUUAUAUGAUUUCGCGCACAUACGUAUGUAUAUAUAAAUAUUUUUUAAAAUCAUAUAUUAUAUAAUAAUUAUAUUUAAGUUUUAUAUUAUUCUUUAUAAACUAUUGUUCCAUUCUAUAUAAUUAGGUGUGGCAUGACUAGGACGUAACUUUCGAUUGAAUUUCUCAAGUUAAUCUUCAAGUUCAAGUUUCAGGUGUGGGAUUUAUUUAAAUACAUGUCGUGGUUAUUUAUUAUCCAUUUUAAUAAUAUGUGUUUACCAUAUGUGUUAUGAUGCAUAUUUUGAGGAUAUCGCUAGGGGCCCAUAAAUAGGGUCCAGGACUUCACCGUCCUUGGAUUGCCACAAUGCAAUUUGAGGUUUAUUUUGAGGAUGUCGUCAGGGAUCCGUAAAUAGGGUCCAGGACUUUAAUAGUCCUUGGGUUGCCACAGUGCGAAUAUAUUGAGGAUAUAUAUGAAGUGACCGUAUGUGUUACCGUUUCAUUAACGUGGACAAUGAUUGCUUGUUCUCACACUGAGUGUACUCUGUAUGCUCAUCCCAUAUUUAACGUGGAAGGUCGAUUGACGAAUCAAAUAUUUUGUAUUUAGCUUUACCUAAAUAUGUUAUUUUGAGUAAAGUAUUUUAAAUAAAAAUUUAUUUCAUAAUUUUCUCAUUAAAUAUUUAUUUAUAUUCAUAGCUUUUCCGCACAAAUAUUUAUUUAAAUUUUAAUUAGAUUUGGGUGUCACUGUGCGGUGAUGUUUUUCCACCGUUUCGGUGGUGGUGAGGCCCCACCUGCGUGCACGUUAUAUACUUGAUUAUAUUCAGAUACCUCUUGUAAUUUUUAAAAAAAUAAUCAUAAAAUUAAACCAAAGCAUAUAAAAUUGAAAUUGGCCAAAAAAAUAUAUAAAAAUAAAUAAAAUUAAAAAUGGGAUAUAAAGUGAGACAUUAAAUGUGGUACACUACUGAAUCUCAAUCCAACACGUGGAUGCUACAUUGUACUUGUCGGAAUAUUAGAACUUCUACAAAAUAUUGCUAUUGGAAACGUGAAAUUUUAUUAUGAGAAAACUUAUACCUGACCCCACAGUCGUGGGCACGUGUUAUGUUGCGCGGAAAUUAAAGUGGUGGGGACCGUAAAUGGUAUUUUAGUCUUUUAAUUUAUUUUAGUAUACAAAAGAGUUAAUUUUAAAGAGGCGCUAAAAAACACAUCACUUUUAAAAAUUGGUAUUUAAAAUCUUGAACCCCUUUUAUUAUUUUAGAAAGAUAUUAAUUAAUUGAUAAAUUAAUAAAUUAUUAAUUGAAACAAUUAUUUUAAGCAAAUUUAAUUAUAAUUACCUAAAAAUUUAAAAAACAUAAAUUCAAUACCAUUCAAAUUCAACAAACUAACUUAAAUUUUUACUUUAAAAAAUCUUCAUCAAUCUUGCAAUCUCGGCUUGGACUAUAAAUGUUCAACAAGAGACAAUAACCAAUUUUUCAGACAUUUGUGAACAAAAUGAAGCAUGUUUAGAGAUCCUUAAUAAAGGUGUACGAAAUGAUGGAUAAAUAAGUUUGUGAAAAUUUCACCAUACCUAACCCCACAAUUAUUUGCGAUCGAAUAUCCUCGUCACAGGAAAAAGAGAUGAUGACAAAAGGGAAAAAAAAAUUAACAAAGUAGAAGAUGCAUGACAACUGUCAAGAUAAAUAAUGUUACUAAUUAAAUAAUCCAAACUUUAUACGUUUCAUAUCAUAAGUGGCAGUUCUAUAUUUUUUGCGAAAGUGAACAAAAUAACGAAUAAUUUUUAAAGUAAUAGUAAAAGGAGAUGUGUUUUGACAGAAAACGACAUGAGCGGCCUAAAAAUAAGAGGGAAAAAGAUAAUCAUAUAAAUAUUCAAAAUCAAACGGAUUGGCAUGUAUUCAUCAUUUUUUAUUUUAAUAAUUUAACAGUAUUAAAUCAAGAAAUUUAAAGACCGCGCCCCUUACUGCUUGGCUUUAAGAUUAUGUUACAAUAAUAAAAUUAACAGCACGUUUACAAUAUAAAAUUAAUUAUGAUAAAUGCAAUAUAUUAAUAAUAAAUACUCAAUUACCUCUUAACAUAAUUCGCGCAUCAUGGCUUUUAGCUUAUGUUAUAAAGAUGGAGUAUAAAAUAAUCAUCACCUGUGCAUGAUAUUUCACAAAAUAAUUAAAUAAUAAAAUAAUCAAUCAUAAUGCCAAGACGUGACUCUUGUCGGUCAUAUCUCAUCAACUUUAUCUAUAUAGUACAAUGAUGAUUAAUUUGAGAACGACGAUUAAGACACCAACUAUUCUUGUGGGGACACAUGCAUAUAUAGAAUUAAUAUUAUAAACUCUCUCGGUCCACGAAAUAACUUACUAUUUUUUCUUUUAAGAACGUGAACAAAAAAAAUUCCCAUCGAUAUUUCGGAACUAUACCCCACUACUUUAAAAUACCUCAUUUUACCCUUUCUUUUUCACAAAAACAACAAAUUACUAAUAAUUUUUCACUAUUCCUAAUAUACUGAACAAUUUUUCUCCACUCUCAAAUUUUGUAGCACCGAAUAAAAUUAAAUACUAGUAUUAUUUUUUGUAGAACUAUAAAUAAAUAUUAUUCUCAAAACAUGUACUAUUACUUACUAUUUUUUUUAAAUGUGGGACGACCAAAAAAGGAAAGAUGAAUUCUAAAAGCUGGGACAGAGGAUAUAUUAUUUUUCUUCUUGGUUCUGAAGUAUGAAUAUUAAUUAACAAUUCUUCGUCCACAUCAAGCUCACCUUCACGUAAUUUUUUCUUGAACAACACCGAAAAAUAUAUAAUCCCAACAUAGCAUGAUCAAUCUCAAUGCACCAAACAUAAAUUAGUUUUAAAAUAAUAAUAAGAUUAACUACUAUAUUGCUGAAUUAUGCAGUAGAAUUAAAAGCGUGAUUUUUUUUUAAUAGAGCAGGUUAAUCUAGGCCUACCUGAACCAUCUGACUAUGCAUGAGUUUGAUUUUUCUUCUUGAUCUUUUUUAAUUUUACCGACAAAGAAGAUUUUCACAAAUGAAAAGAAAACGUUCUAGUAACAUACUACAUGCUUACUUCAGAUUUGCAACCAAGUCUAUUGAGGGUUUUAUUUGCUACAUAUAUAAACACAAGGAUUUGGUUUGAUACAAAUUAAGAAUAUUCAACUUUCAUCGGCUCAAGCACAUAGAAUCUCCCCGAGUAGUUAUAACUGGUCAAUGUUUUUGCCGAUAAAAAGGAAAAGGAAAGAAAAAAGAAAGAAGCAAGACGGAGAAAAAGUUGUAGUAAAUGAUUAUGCGAUGAAAAGAAAAUGGAAAAGAGAAAGAAAGAAGAAAGUUGUAGGAAUUUUGAAGAAUUUGUACUUAUUUAGAAUUGUGGUUAUUGUGGGAUCUUGUAUAAUAAUAAUAAUAAUAAUAAUAAUAAUAAUAAUAAUUAUUGGGCCGUUCCACGAAUCUUGGCACAUUUUCAAAUAAGGUAAUAAUUCAUUCUCUCUCUUACUUUAUCACUUUAAUACUUUAUUAACUACAAACUUAAAACACUAAUAUACAAUUCCUUAAUUCCCGUGUCGAAACCAAACGUGUCAAGAUUCGUUGGAUGGAGGGAGUAAUAAUAAUAAUAAUAAUAAUAGUAAUAAUAAUAAUAAUAAUAAUAAUAAUACAUCAUUGCCCUUUAAAAAGUUUUAAAAUAGGAACAUAAUAUGUAAAUCUAAUUUUGUAAAAGAAGCUCUUCUAUAGUAAUAGUUAUAGAUUUGGUGUGGAGGCAUUUGUUUGAGAAUGGGUAAAACAUACCAUUAACCCUUUGAUAUAUGCACGAGACACUUAUUUGUGGAUAGGACAAGAAUUAUUUUGUUGCAUAGGAUCCCUUCCAAAUGUAAUUACUGAUUCACAAUUGGAUUAACAAGAAUUAACUUACUUCAUAUUCAGUAUUCCAACUGUUCGAUAAAAGUUCUUAAUGAAAUCUUCCAUAGAUUACCCAAAUGCAUUGUUUUGCAUAGUCCGUACAUUGAGAUGGUCGAGUAUCUUAUGUCUAGACUUAACGAGAGCAGACUCGAUCGCUUAGUCCUUAUUUAUUUACGACACACACACAUCUCAAAAUCACACAAAUUGACGAAUAAUGUUGCCAGCCAGCUCCUUCCUGUUCCACGCGCCAGCAUUUGUCUUCACCAUGGUGGCUGUGAAAUACCAUGAGAUAAUAUCAUGUUUGGCGACGUAUGGUUGGUUUAGUCCGCUGGCGGCGGAGAGCCCUACCUGAACCUGCUCAGGAAGAAACUCGCCCAAAUUGUACACAUGGCUGACCUCAAACGUCUUCGAGCCGGCGGUGGCACUGACGGUGAUCAUCUUCGUGGCUCCGACGUAGUUGAUCCGCGCAGUCACCUGCUGUCCGACUAUGGCGUCUCCGACAUUCGUCGUGUUGCUGGAUUCCCUAGAUCCGAGGUCGAUGCCGAUGUGGGGAUAGUUCGGAUCCCACGGGCUGUUGAUGAAGGUGUCGAACUCGACGGCGAAGACCGAGGGGCUAUUGCCGUUGGAGCCGAAAAUUCCGAGGUUGGCCCCAACAGCGCCACUGGGGAUGGUGGAGCCGACGGGGGCAAUGAAGAAAGCGAGGCCGUCAGCGGUUUUGCCAUCGGGGCUGGGUGUGAUGAUGAAGUUAAUGGUGGUUUCAAAGUCGACUUGGCCACCGGAUUGGGAGAACUGGACCGGCUUCGAGUACAAGACCCGGCCGACCUGGUAUGUCUCGAAGUCGGUGAGGCGGAGGAAGGUGGAGUCCGAUGGGAAAUGGGCGUGGCCUUGGUAGGUGAGAUCGGUCGGCUGGUCGCCCCAGAAGUCGUAGGUGAAGGACGUUGUUUGGGACCACACCGUGUUGGCAGCGGCGGCAAGGAGAAGGGCGAUGGAGAUUAGGGUUUGUUGAAGGUUGGCCAUCGCUUAAUUGAUUUGGAUGUGGUGGAUGAUGGUGGUAUCUUUAUCUUGCUUCUAUUUAUAGUAGUAUAACGAGCCCUAGUUAAUUAUCUUUAAAUCAUACUAAAAUAUCAUAAAUUAAAAUUGAAGAAAAAAAAGUUAAAACCUACUCUCGCAGUCCCUCAAAUAACUUCUUAGGAGAAGAGGGGUAGGAGUUUUAAGACGAAGUUAAUGUGCAAAGUAAGGAUAAA
rnacentral:lncRNA from 1 species